rnacentral:lncRNA from 1 species
ACAGAUAAAAAUAACAAAAGCAUAUUAACCAUCACCAAUGUCCAGUAUAUUGACAUUCUUAGUAAGAAAAGACGUACAUGCAACCAUAUCCAACUAAUUAAUCACCCUUUCCUAAAUUGCCACUUUUCUGAGCUGAAUUUAACUCCAGCAAGCAAUCAAGAGAUAACAAAUCCAAAAGUUUCAUUUUAAAAAAAAAAAAAAAAAAAAAAAAAAAAAAAAAAAAAAAAAAAAAAAAAAAUUUUACAGUAGUAAAUCAAAGGAUCAAACCUUGAACAGGGGCAGGCUUAGAAGGUGGUUGCUCACUUUCACCAGAUGCUUUUGGUGACUCAGAUAGAUGAACAUGUGCAAAUUCAUCUACCAUUUUCCGCUUUUGCUCCUCUUCAGCAACUCCUACUUUUUCUUUUGCCUUCUGGCCAACCUCCCCAGCUUUCUUUGCAACCCUGUUGAAAGCUCCUGUUACCCAAGCAGCCCCAGUAAAAACAUAACGGUUCUUCAUAAUAGCAGAUCCUGCAGUACUGACUUUUUGCUCAGCUGCUGCAAAUGCUGUCUUAGUUUUCUCUGAAACCUGAUAUUUCUGAUCCACUUCCCGGACUUUGUCACCCACAACAGUUGUGCCAGCACUAAUCUUCUCAGUCAACCCUAUUUUUUUGUCAAAAGAAGCAACUUUAGCUGAGGCUGAUUUAGUCAAUUGGUGCUUCUCAUCAAGAGUCUUUGCUUUGUUCACUGCAUCUUUGCCUAAGAUAUAUCCUUUAGCAAGCAUGCUACUGACUACAUCCUCUGCCUUCCGGAAGGCAGAUUCAGCACCGCCAGGAGUUGUGUUUUCUGUUGCCUGCAGAGAUUUGGACAUAUUCAGGUUAACAACAUUUUAUCAUGUAAACAAUAACAGAAGUUCAAUACAAAGUUCUUACAGAGGAUGCUAAAGCUUCUGGUGGCAGCUGAUAAUCUGGAUCCGGAGUUAUGGUAACUGACAGAUCUACUAUUGUUGCUCCCUGGCAUGAGAAAUUGAAACUUCAUCAUAGAUACUUACGGGAAAAAAGGGGCGGGGGGGUGAAGGAGAUACUUGAUUCUAAAGUUAAAGGUCAAUUAUUUAGUCACAGAGAAGAGAUGACUAUCAUUGUUCUUCCCACUUUACAAUUUCACAUGCCUACUGAAAAGAAUAGUUAGUUUUCAAAUUUUGGUUGAGAGAACAUGCCAGUAUUCCAGCAAAUUGUGUCUUACUGUUUAGAAUCCACUUAAACUGGUGAAGGUCCACUUGUUAACGAAGUUAGUGCAACCUGAAGAGCAAAGGAAGAAUAGUGCAAAGUUGCAACCCUAGACCUAAAAAAAUCCAGUAGCCAGAGACUCUCGAUAAAACAGGUAAACAUACCAUUAUAACCAAAAUUCAAUAUUAAUCUGCAUCUUUUUCACGACAUACAACUAUGAUUUAGUGGAUUCACAGGAUAUAAAAAUGAUCAAAUGUAGUCAUGCUUGUGUUAUUUAUUUUCAAUGAAAAGCUUGAGCAGUUGUCUCAAGGAACUUUUGGAGUUAUAGAACUUGAGGUUGGAAGGAAAAUACAUUUCAAGUGAUUAUGUUUCUAACAGAAGAAACACAAUUGCAACCAGCAGCAAUAACAUGGCUUCAAUAGUUGGCAAUUAUCACAUAAAUUUUUUACGUUUAAUUACUUACUGAAAUAUUCAGCAUAAACAAGAUUCGCUAUACAUCUUGAGCUUUGGAGAAUAAAAAUGUUUUACAUUGAUUCAGCUUCGGUUACAAGAAACUUCACCAUAAGGAGCAAAGUUUCUCCAUCACUUGAUAGAAGCCUAAAAAGACUAACAUAGCAACAUUUUGAAGACCAUUUAUCCCAAUUUAAUUGGGCAGAAACAGACUUUGUGGAAAUUAUUUCCCGGAAAAACAACCUACAUUGUUGUAUGGUUGAAUUAUUGAAAAUCAGCCAGAAAUUAGCUUUUAAUGCUUAAAAUAUAUUAAAAAAUUGUUUUUUACAAAAAAAUCUAUGUAAUUGAAUACUGCGAAGAGAAAAAAAAAAUACGCAAAAAGGUAUAUCAUGGCAAUCGUCAACAACCGUGGCAGCUGGUAGAAGAUGACCAAUUGCGGAAAUUGGACUGAUGGGUAUGUUUUUAUGUACUUCUAAAAAUUCAUUCACUAUUCAGUAAGUUUUUCAGAGUUAGGAAAAUGCUUCUUUUGAAAAAGAAACUAAGUCAUCUCAAGUCCUUUUGACUAAGAAAAUAUUUUCCUUUAAGUUUCACAAGCAUCACAAACAGCACAAAUUACAGAAAAUUUUUAAAUUUUCCUGGCAAAUAUUUUAUGUGAAACAAAUGGAGUUGUGUUUUCCAAAUAAAAUAGUUGUAUAUACCAAUUACCCUACACAUCCAUUAUGUUAUGGUUAUGAAGCUACUAUAAUUAGGGUAGUUUUACUGCUGUAUUUAAGAUAGUUUUAUUUAGUUAUUCAGUGUUUAUCAUGUUAUUAUCAGUUUCUUUGUUAGUGGGUAUUAGUGGGGGGGGCAAGCAAGUUAUUUAUUGUAAUGGGUAGUUAUUAGUGGGUAGCGGGUAGAAUUAGCUUUGCAUUCAGUUGUUUAGAAGGCUGUGAUAUCAGGAAAAAUGUAAGCAGAAUUUUAUGAAAAGGUUUUGAGUUCCUAAAACUCAGAGAUUAUAGAAUUCUCUCUUAACAAACUCUAGGAGAUUGCAGAUUCUCUCUAAGUCUGUCACCAUUGAUAGAAGGAAGAAAACUCCUUUUAAGACACCCAUCAACCUGAUCCCCCUAAUUCAAAGACCCAUAACUAGAUCCAAAUUCGGGACCAUAACACUUAUCCUUAAAAAAGCAGAGAAAGAGGGUGCUGUAACAAGAAUUAUACAAGUCCACUCAAGUCAACUAUGCACUAAUUCAGCUGCCUCGUCAUGUAGGAGGUUAGGACUUUAAAUCUCCAACUCCCUCUCACUUUUAAGAACUUUUCUAGAGGAAAAGAGUGCUAGUUGUCCCAGGCCUUCAUUUAUUUUUAUGAAUUGGAAUCAUAAAUUGUGCUCCAAAUCUUGAGAUGGACCAUGCUGGGUUACGGGCGCCUAAGAAGAAGAGUCUCUCUUACCACUCACAUAGUCUACAAUCCAUUGUUGCCCAAUUCUGCUUAUUAUGGUUCUAGGUCGAUGCAAAUUUUCACAUGUAGAAAAUUUACAUCACUGUAGAUACUGGAAUAAGGCAAUCAAAUUCAAGGAAAAUUUAUUACUUGGGGCAUCACCGAUAAUGAUAAAUGAUGUCCUUGCUAACAUAAAUAAGAGGAAAGGCUAACUUCUUAAUAUGAGAAAUCUUUAAAUCAGAAAAGUCAAACUUCAAUAUAAGGACAAAUGAGUGUUAUUUAUCACGUAGAAAGAAGUUAACCAUGGACAAAGGAUUAUUAUCAGGAUACUGAUUAAAAUGCCAUGUGAAGACAUCAUCAAUAAGAAUUCACAAGGCGUGAAUACCAAAUGAGCACAAGGAAAAAUAUAAAGUAGAAGAUAUAAUCUAGUGAUACCAAAUGUAGUACGAAUUUACUUACUGAAAGAAGAACAGCAGUUUCUGCUCCCUGUGAAUCUUUGAAGGUAACAUAGGCAGUUUGAGAAUGUUCAUUAUCCCUGCACAUGCAUGUGUUAUGAUUGUUUUUCAAACAACAAAGACAGAAGAAACAGAGAAGAGUUGAAAUAAAAGGGAAGGGGUAUUAAGGAACACGAGAACUAGAAAAAAAAGAGAAAGGGAGAUGCAUGGUGAAACUAAAGAAUGAAAUACCUCUGCACUUCAACAUAUUCAAUAUCACCAGAAAAAGAAAAGAACUCCUUGAGGUCUCGCUCAGUUGCUCCUAAAGAAACAUUACUAACUUUGACUGUUUUUACCUGCAUGAAGGUUAAAAAUAAUACCCUUGAAAGUAGUGAUAAUGCCAAGUACAAGACAUCUUUUAGAAAAUUCACAUGUAAGUAGUAGCACCCUCUUCAAAGUUACAAUAGAAGAAAGGACAUAUGAACCGCAACAUCGUGGUUGGGAAUAAUAAUGACAGACACAAAAUUUUCGACCUUCAAACAAGGUAAGGGAGGAACAAGAAAAGAGGAAAACACAAAAGAAUAUAAAAGGCUUUUCAGCUGUACUGCGAGGUUAUCGAAUGGGAAAUUUUUUUUCUAUCACGGAUCCCAUUGCACCUAUGCUACUUCACAUUUAUUUUACCUGAGCAUCAAGAAUUAUUAAUAUACAGGCAGGGGGAUUGACACAUAUUCAGAAAUUAUGAUUUGAAGAAAAGAAGCUUCACAGUAAUCUUUGAUCUACCAACAAUAUCUUGGCCUCACAACAAGAUUGACACCACUUGCAUUGAGAAAAUCUGACUUCCGCUUUUAUUGUAAGAAGAGAGAAAUAUCUUGAUGAGUGCUAUAAUAUUGUCCCCAUGUGGAUCAAUUUAUGUAUUAUCCUUUCUAACUUGUACAUGAUUGAAGACUUUAUAUGACAUGCAAAUAAGUAAAAGUCCACUGUAGUAAUUACUAAAGAUACUAGCAAGAAGGCUACAACUAGUCAAAUCAGAUUAAUACACAUAUCAGACUUCAAAAUGUAUUUCUCUGCUAAUAGAAAGAAAAUUUGAUUUUUUGCUGUCUUUUGAUAUCUCAAACGAAAAUGAGAUAAUAAAUCUUGAGUUUAAUGCUCUUUAACAUAAUAUUCAGGUCUGAGAAAUUAUAGUUUGCUGGUAGUCAAGGGACAAAACUAAGUGAAACAGAAAGAAAAUGAAUAGGAAGGGAAUAGAAUAGGAAUACGAAUUUCCAAGUGUGGGGUUCAAAUAGAAUGGGAAGAGUCCUCCUUUUUAUUCAAAAAAUAAAAAAUGCCCCCUUUUCCAAAAUACCAAUUAUGCCUUUAUAUUGGUCUUUCUAUUGUUCCCCCCCUUCCUAUAACUAAACAAAAAAAUGGAAUUAGAAUUCCUAUCCCAUGCUAGACACAACAUAUUCCUAUUUCAUUCCAUUCCAGCAAACGUAGGCUGAAAGCCCUUCAUAUAAAAAGAAAAAGGGAAAAUCUCUAAUUAAUCCUUGACUUUUCUCAAUUUGUCUAUUUAGAAUAAAAAUUAACUUUUAUGACAUGAUUAAGAUAACUUUUUUUCCAUUUUGAACCAAUCAAACUCGAUUUUUAUUUAAAAAAAAUUAUUUGACAUAUUUUAUAAUGAUAAAAAGUAUUUGAGAAAAUGUUUAUAUUUUCAUAUAUACAUAUUUUAUAAAAAUAUGUUUAUAUUUUUAAUUAUAUUAGUUUUUUAUUUUUAUUUCUUUUUCCAAUUUUGUUCAUUGCUUAACAAUAUUUUUUAUAAAUAACUAACAAAAUGUGCACAACUUGUGUGUAUUCUUCUAUUUUUGAUUAUAGGGUAGAAUUGCAAAUAAAUUUUUAAAUUAGGGAAAAAAAACACUAAAAAGAAUAGUGCGAUACAAUUACAAGAAGUCACAAAGUUUGAGGUACUUUUAACCAUUAAGCCUUCUAAUUAAGUUAGGAUGUAUUUAAAAUGGUUUAAAGUCAUUUUUCUAUCAGGAUUUUAUAAUUAAGGCCUUAAUCUAAUGGAUUAUACACUUACAAGUAAGGCUGUAAUGUUCAACUUCAAAGUAGAUUAUGAAUAUUUGAAUAAUAAAAGAACCAGUUCAUUGGUAGCUUAUUGGUAAAAUUAUGAUCUAUUAGUUUGACCUUUUCAACUUUCUCUUGUCAAAUCUAGCCUAAUUCAAGAUUAAGGUUAUUUUUGCUAUAUCAAUCUUCUUCAAGUUCCUAAAGAAUGCAACACGUUGAAGUGUGAACAAAGAGGAAACUUAAGGAAGAAGGCGGUGGCUAUAAGUAUACAAACAGGAGGCAGUAGGGACUAGAUGAUGUCGCAGGUAAAGGAAAUCACUAGAAAGGACUUAUGGAGGACAAUGUAUGAAGAAACUAAAUCAAAUGAAUCCAUGAUUAUAGGAACAUUUAGCUGCCCCAAUAAAAAUCACCCACUCCAUUUCUCUUUAUGCAUUAUGAUUGUUGUUAUCAGAAAGCAACAGCAAAGAGAAUUUUUUUUUUGAACAAGUGGUAUGAAUGUGUGGAGGCACAAUAGACACACACAACAACACAAUUGACAAACACAGAGGGAAAUUCUCAACGCCAAAGAUUGUGAUAAGGAUUGAUGGCAGUUGGAGAAGGUAAAUAGAAGUUGGGAUAAUGAAUUUAAUUUUCUUAUUCUCAUUGUGAAUUUGAAAGCCAGAUGUCAGGACUUCAGAGAAGUUUGGCUCAAGUCUAUAAAAACAAACAGGUCAAACACUAAGCCUAAAAAGCUAGUGAAAAUAAAGAUUAGAUGCAAUUAAGCAAAGUUUUCAAAUUCACACGUCUGCCUUGGACGUCAUGUUUGCAGCAACUCUCCCAUGACCCCUCGGAUGCAAUCAGAACACAAAUCACCAACUCUUUCUUUUUUUUUUUUUUUUUUUUUUUUUUUUUUAAAACCAAAUUGACAAAAUUCCAAGUAUAGGAUAGAAUUGAAUCAAAAAGAAAAAAGAAAACUUGAGGGUUUGCCAGGCCAUUAAGCAUUUGUUGUGGUACAAUUGCAAGUUCAAAGAUUCACGCCCAGCCUCUAAACUAAGGCAGAAUGCUGUCGCACAAACUUUAAAAUGUGUACUAUUUAUGCUAGAUGAUUUUAUUCCUUAUUUCUUUUAUUGUUCAUAAAACAAUAAUAACCAAAACAUCAAAUUUCAUCAAAGCAAAAUAAUUAUUACUGUAUCCUAUGCUAAUAGGCAUUAGUAUUCACAAAUAAAAGCAAUUUCUUAAACUGCACCGCCUGAGAAUAACAACCAAAAGAUCCAAUCCCAGCUAAAUCCUAAUUGAUAUUCAAAUAAAAAUGGAAAAACAAAUACACAAACCACAUAUUAUAAACUUCAUAAUGAAGUUAUUUCUAUCUUCAAUCAUUGCAAUGUGUACCCACAUUUUGUAUCAUUUAUCAAAAUUUGAAUGACAGAACAGAAAUUAAUUAUUUAAAUUAAGAUGCAAAAUCUGACAAAAAGCAUUGAAAUGGUAACAAAGAUCCCUAGGGGUUCUUUUACAAACUAAAUUUGAUUGUCAUCUAUUAAAGUCGAAAUCAAUUCGAUAAGAUAGCAUCAUUAAGCGACUAACCAACAAUAAACCUAUCAAACAAGAACGGAUCUAUGUCUAUGAAUGAAUCUGAAACGGUCGAUUUAAGCCCCAAUCAAAAUAAAAAUUAAAUAAACAGAAAGGGAAAGAGAAAGAAAGAUGACUAACCGACAUAGUGAGCUGCUUUGAAGAGAGAGAGAAGGAUCGAUUAUGGAAAACUCCGAUUCUUAGAAUUUAUAUGGAGAGCUUUCUGAAAUACACGCGUGGGCGAGAAGGAAACAGACGCCGGCCGUCGCGGCACGUUGUAGAUAAAUACUACCUCCGUAUCCGUAAUUAACCUUAAAAGAUAUUUUUACUUGGACAAGGGCAUUACUAAUAAAUAAAUUGUAAUAAAGAGGUGGAGUACCCGAACACCCAAAUUAGUUCCUGGACGUUGCAUAAAAAUACAAUUGAGUCCUUAUAUUUCAAUUGGGCUCAAUUAGGUCCUCAAUGUCAAAAAAAUUGGGCCAAUGAUGUCAUUAGAGAAAUUAGUAAGCUGAUAUAAAUGGAUUCCGCACAAUGGAAUGCAAACUAUAUAGCCUCAUUUAGGAUAACAAAAAUCUCAACUGAUUCAAUUCAAUUUUAGUUAAUUUAUUUUGGUUUUUAAUAAUUCAGUUAGUUUUAUUCGAGUUAUGAUAAAAAACAAUGGAGAGCGGUUAUUUGUAUAUAUAGUUAUGUCAGACAUGUAUUAAAAAUAGGCAUGGCCAAUAUUAUGCUCGAAUAGAACAAAACUGCUACAUUGAAAUUGGAAGUUUACGGAUUUCUUUUUUUUAUAUAAUGUAUUAGGAUUUCAUUGAAAAUUUCAUAUUAAUAUGAGUAAUGCAGGGAGGACGUGACCAUCUCGUGAAGAUCAAACAUAGAAUAAAACUAUUAUAAUUAAAAUAAUUAUUGUUCACUAAUCUAAUAAGAUAUACUAAUGAAAAUUGAAAGGUGAAUUUGAAAAAUUAAUAGAUUUUCAAAGUGGCUGGCUAAACAAACUUGUUGAAUCUUUUGUAUGUGGCCUAAUAUCCAUAAAUUAAUUGUUUAUGACGAACACAGAAGAUUUGAAUCAUUAAAUCCAGUGGAGGAACAGGCCGCACUACCAGGUUCUAAAAGACAAAAAUCAUCAUGAAUUGUACACCCUAAAUAAAACAAAAACUCCACAUAAAUCACAAACUCCACACAAUAUUGAGAUAAACCACGAAAAAUAGCAGAAACAUAAAUAACAUAGAUAUAUACCAAAUAGACAUAGAUAUGUAACUUAUUUAAUAAAAAAAAUACAAAAAUUUGCAACAAAAUAAAAAAUAAUAGGGAUGGGCUAUCAAAAGGGACAAGAAUCAACCCCAAGAAUUAGCCCCUCUCUAUGUCCACAUACUUAGUUUUUGCGUUUCAGUAGAAAAAAGGAAAGAAAAUUGUAAUGAAGAAGGGAGAGAGAAAGCAGCAUCCGUUCCUAAUAGGUUUGCACGUAAGAUAUCUUUCAAGUUUAAGGAUUUAUUUAAGUUCAAAGGCAACAGAAAAAUGCAUCUGAACUGGCCCGAAACUAGCAUUAUGGGUAGUCUAGUCCGAUUGGAAUCCAUCCAAAAAAAUUUUUUUAAAUUAUUUAGCCAGAUUUUUUUAUUAAUUAUUCAAUUUUUAAUUUUCAGUCAAAUAGAAAAUUUUAAUUUUAUGGUUAUUCAAAAUAAAGAUGGAAUGAAAAUUUUAAUUAAAUUAUUUAAUUUUUUAUUCUUAUUAAACUAGUAUUUAAAAAUGUGUUGCAUGUGUUUACUUGUUGUAGUUACUAUUUUCUAAUAAUUAUAAUUUUAAAAUAAUAUAACCUUUAAUAAAUAAUUACAUUAAUUAAUUUUUACAUAAUUAGGCAAAAUAAAAAGAACAUUAAUAAAUAUAUAAUAUAAUAAUAUCUUCUUCAAAAUAUAGAGAUGUUAACAACAUAAAGAAUAAUACACUAAUGAAUUAAAUAAAAUUUUAAUAAUGUAAAUAAGUUUAUAUUGAUAAAAAUUGCAUACCUAAAUAAUGUAACAAGUAGCAACUUGACAAACAAACCAUAGCUAUGAAAAUAAAAAUCCAAGAUUUGAUUGUGGGAAAAAUAUUCAUAAAAAUUAAAAAUAAAUUUGAGCCACCAUAGAUAUCGAAAUAUCUAAGAUCAUUGUGGGGAAAGUCUGUAUAGUAUGGGAGUUGGUCAAUGGCGUCCUCUAGAAGCUGGGUGGUUCAAGGUCAAUUUUGACGCUGCUUGGGAUGCGAACUAAGGUUUGUUGUUAGAAAUGAUAGACAGGACGAUAUGGGAGUUGGUGCUCGACUCUUGCGACAGCAAUUACAUCCAACUGAAGCUAAGGUAGAAGCGAUUAUUUUCGGAGUUCAAGCAGCGGUGGAGAUGGGCCUGCAAAUGUUUGUUCUUGAAUUAGACUCUCAAUUUGUCAUGCAGCAUCUCCAAUGCAUAAAUUUCCCAAUAAUGAAAUGGAAAAUCACCUUCUGAUCCUUGACUCGGUCUGUAGCUAAAGUUCAGAUUUCUUUUGCAAUUAUGUUAGUAGAAACUACAAUAAAGUAGCUCAUGCAUUAGGCAAAUUUGCUCUCGUUAAUGUAGUUUAUGAUAGACUUUGGAUUAAGGAGGUUCCAUCCUCUAUCCAAGUUUUGAUUGUGUCAGACCUUCCUAUUUUGGUUUAAUCGAUUAUUCUUUUUCUCAAAAAAAAUAAAAAAUCUAAGAUUUUUAUUCAAUUUUUUUUCUUCUUUUUGUUAUUGGAUAUUUCGUUCGUACACAUGCCUCCUGAGUUAUAAUGAAUUGCAAACAAAGUUUAAAAAGAUCAAAUCUUUGAUAAUUCUAUCGUAAAUGAUUGAGUUGUGAAAACUUUUGGAUAGGUGUCUUACAUCUGAACUAAAUGUUUUAUGAUUCAAAUGUGAUAACAAAUAUAAGCAUUUUGAAUGGAAAAAAUAACUCUAAAUUCAAAUAUCUCACAUGUAUUAUGUGUAUAAAUGUACCAAAUUCAACCAACAUAAAUAUAUUAAGUAACAAAGUAAAAUUUGACCAAUAUUGCACUCCUUAGGAAUAGACAAACAAUUGUUUUCUUAAUAAUUUUUUAACUAGUCCAAGGCAAAAAGUUAAACUUUAUAAUUUAGGAGCCACACAAAAACAAAGUAAUUUGAUAAAUAGAAGUAAAUAACCACAACAAGUUCUCUCAUGUUGAUGAUUAUGUUAGAUUAAAGGAUAGUGUACGAUUUAAAACCAUUCAUUAACUUAGUACUUUACUUAAAAUAGAGUGUAUCUGGUAAAGUAAUUUAAAAAUUUUUGUAGAAAUGAGUAGUUCUUGAAAAUUUCUAUUCAUAAUUUCAACUUUAGUGAUAGUAAAUAUUUAAAACAUAUAUCAAUAUACAUUUAUGGUAUCAUCUUGGCAAGUCCAUAACCCAACAUUCAUCAGGUAUCAGAAUUGCAUAUUGCCAUUUCCUUACAUAAACAUUCAUAACAAUUCAGAGUUUACAAGCUAUAUACAACACAAGUCAUUACAAUUGUUGGAUUGUAUUGCAUAAUGUAACUACAUUCAAAUAAAGUUUUUAUUCUAAUCUAUCUGUUAUAUUUCUAACUUUGAUUUGCAUAAACACACUCAAAAAUAAAAAAUUAAUGAAUUUUUUUUUGUCAAAAAUAAGUAAAUAAGUUUAUAGUAUAAUUUUAAUUAAAUUAAUUCCAUCCGUAAAGUAAUCUAUUGGUAAAGAAUACUCAAAAAUAAAAAUAAAUAAAAUCUACAGCCGCCCUCACCACCACCAAAGCUAUCUCCAAAACCACCAUCAGACUUUGGUCAAUCCCUGCUUUUUCCAAUCUCCCAAUUAUCCAAUUAAAAAAAAAAAAAAAAGGUAGUUUCCUUUUUAACCUCACCAAUUCGUUAAAAGACAAUUAUAGCCAACUGAUUCACCAAUUGAAAUCAGUCCAUCACCACCACUCUUACAAAUCGCAGUAGAGAAGAUUGAAAGUUUCAAAAAGUUUUUCAUUUAGACAACUAGUAUUUCUCUCUUGUUAUUUUUUUUCUUUUCCAUCACAUAAUAAGGCAUGCGCAUCACAAACAACAGCUCUAUAAUAAAACUUUAUUAAAGUUUUAUUAUAAGCUAAUUCAUGCAUAACACCUUCAUGCUUCUUAGCCAUUUGUACAUACUAAAAAGGCACUUCUCUUCCUAAAUUGAAAGCCAAAGUUAGCAGUUACCCUUCUGUAAAGAUCAGUUUAAACUAGAUCUUGAUUUAUUUAUUCGCCCUACUUUGAAUGUCAUUUGCCGACCGCAGAAGAAGCAAGAUUGAGGAAAAUGAAGAGACAGAAAAUAAAGAGACGGGUAAGGAGAGAGGAGAGGAUAGUGAUGGUGAGUGAUUGAGGAUAUUUUGGUAAAAAAAAACAUCUCUCUCCUUUGAACAUAUUUUAUUGCUUUGACUCACGGUUAAACAUAGGAAAAGUGAAUAAAGGACUAAAGUGUCUAACAGAAUAAUAAUUUGGAGAUACAAUCAUGUAUUUUAUAAAAAACAGAUUCUGUCUAAUAUAUUUUGAAGGGAUGUAAUAGCAUUUUCCCUUCUUUUUAAUCAAUUCUCAUAUAAAUAGUCAUUUCAAUCAUUUGACAAUAAAUCAUUUUGCAAACUAUUUUUCAGUAAAGCAAUCAUUUUAUUUGUCUCCUUCAAACUUAGAGUAUCUUUUUGGUUUAAUCAUUUCUUGUUUCAUCAAUAUACAUUUUAAGACAUGUUAAUCAAAUCAUGUGCAUGUAUAAAUAAACAUUUAAACUUGUAAAUCUUCUACUUAAUGUUAAAAGCAAGGGUUUCAAAAAAAAGUAUCAUUUAAGAAAUGGACCUUUUUCGACUCUUAAAACAAUUCAAAACACAAAUUGUGCACAAAUCUCAAUUUAGAUCUUUUAAUGAAUUAGGUCAAGCAACCUCCUUAAAUCACCCACCCUUCUUUAGUUUCUAGCUUAAAGUUGAAAUAUAUAUAUUGACGUCUUUCAAAAUCAUUCGUGAUACUAUUAUAACUAUUUUUAUAGUAUAACUAAUCGAUAGCUCCAUCGGCAUUAAUUUUGUUGUUUACCUAAGUAAAGAAAGUCCCGUAUAGCUGUAACUAUAUCUUAACUAUUUAAGCACCUUAAUUUCUCAUUUAACUAUCAUUUAGGCAUUUUAUCAAACAUUUGGUGUGCAUGACUUCAAUGUCUAUCUUUCUUAGUUUCCUUUACAAUUUGGACUCCCAAAAAAUAUUGUUGUAUUCAUCAUCCAUCAUUUAACAAUUGCGAGUUUCAAAUUCAAUCAACUAUUCAUCAUUUAACACAUUAAAAUACAUCAAAGUUUACAUCUUUUUUUUGAAUAUUUUAUUCAUUAGACUUCCAUAACCAUAUUACAAUAGCAAUUUUAGUUCUAACAUGAUUUCUUCUAAUCUCACUUAAUUACUUACUUAGGAUGUUUAAUAACUCAUGAAGCCAAUUAAUUCAAAUUUAAAUAAUCUCUUUUCACUAGUCCUGCACAUUGUAGAACUAUCUCUGAGAAACUUUAGGUGUGUUUUCUUCAAUUCAUUCAAAUUAAAGCCAAUUCAUAGUUAAUACAACCUAAACUAACUAACAAACACUUUAAAUCAAGUUGAAUUCAUUUAUUCCAUCAAAAACCAUGAUUUAACCAAAACUCUUCUUUGAAACCCUAACCAAAUUCUUCAUUGAAUCAACUAAAUAACUUAAGGAUAGAUGAAAACUAACUCAUCUUUGAUGAUAUCUAGUCAAAACCCUUUGAUUUCAAGUAUUAAUUUCAAGAGAUAUCAACUUUUCUUCGUCUUCUCUUCUCUUCUUCUUAAGAUUUGUCCUCUUCUCUCUCUUUCCUUUCUUUUUAUUUUUCUUUCCUUUAGAGAUUAAAAGGUCAUGUGCAAGUCACCUUGACAACAUUUUUCCCAUUACCUACUUUAAGUCUUAUUUAUUCAUGUUUUAACCUCACAUUUGUUAUUUAUAAGUUGUCCUUUGAUUCUAAUUAAGUCCAAAUUACUCAUCAACACUUAAUUAACCUUAGUUAGGUCUUAAUUAAGUGUCUUAGAUGAUUUAACAUUAAGGUGCUAGUUUAACGAGCUUCCAUGCCAGCUUCUAUUUGUCGUGAGUUAAACACACUUAUCAUUAAGUGUCUUUGGCAUAUAAACGACUGUUACUCCUGCAUCAGUUUUUGUUAUUCUUUUCUCUAUUAUUAACCUCCAAUCACUACCUUUCAUCUCUAUAAUCUUUUUCUUGAAUCUUUGAGGUAGCUCAGGUUGUGAAUUCUUUACUGUAACUUUUCUUUUCUUGCUUUCAGCUUUAGUUUCUUCUUCUCCUUCUCCUUUUCCUUCUUUUUUCUUUUGAUGAGCUCUUUCAGAGUUUCUUUGUCUCUUGAAAUCUAUACUAAACCUUUUUCUUUUUCUGGAAAAUCUGCUACCCUCUUUAAAGAUUUUUCUUUAAUCAACCUUUGAAGCUUUUCCUCUUUCUCUAAUUUAAUAGAAGCAACGUGUGCAACUAACACUAAAGUAUCAAACUUUGAUAUGUCUCUAGCAAUAUCCACAUUGUUAGCCUUCAAAUCUUCAAGAGUUAAAAAUUCACUUCCUUCGUUAUUAUCAUUGUUCUCCCUCAUUCUUUCUUCUUAUUUAGAAUCUAAUAUUCAAAAAAGAAACCUGUAGCAAGAUUCAAACAAGAAAAAGAAUUUCAAACCUUUAUGCACGCACCUCUGUAUAAGUGAUGGCGCUUAUCAACUUCCUAUUCAAGUGAACCAGAAUGUAAAAUCAAGAGCUUUUAUGAGUGACUGAAUUUCACGCUUUUGAGGCAACAAGCGGUUUCUACAACCGAAUCUACCUUUUUCAAAUUUUUCCUACAACCGAAUCUACUUUUUUCAAAUUUUUCCUAAAAGAUUAGUAAAUCCUUGUAUUAAAAGGCAAUUCGCAAAUCCUUAUGUUGAUAGGAGUAGGAUUAAAUUUUAAUUUUUCCUAAAUCAACUAGGAUUAGGAUUAGGCUAUCAGCCAUGACAUUUGUUGCUUAGCUGAAAAUUUUGAGAAUGUUUCUUCUGCCUUCGUUAAGAGAUGAUGUAACUGGGGCUGCCCAUGGUCUGGCAAAACAACCCCUAUAUAAUUCUUUUUGUUUGAAUCUGUCUGAGCAAGCUUCUUGGCUCAAAGAUGUAGUAUAAUUUCCUUUGUAAUGGUUUGUUAUCAAUAAUUUAUUAUCUAUAUCUUUGUAAAAAAAAAAAAAAAAAAAAAAAAAGGGAAUUUUAUUUGAUAACAGAUUUUGAGUAGAGAUGCAUUGCGCAGUUGCUCCCUGCAGUCAAGUGCGGCUAGUUAAGCUAGUUCAAAAUCUUGAAGUUAAAUUGCACAUGUGAAAAUUUGGGAUCAAAUGAAGGUCCAUCCUUGUGACAUUGCAUUAUUAUAGCUAGGACUAAAAAGAUCAGUUACCCUGAAACAAAAGUACCAUCGACUUCAUAGGUUGAAAAGGCAAAGAGAGACGGCAAUCUUUCAUCUUUCUGGAUUUGUACAGGAGGACUCUUAAAAUUACAAGCAUGAUGCACUUGCAAAUGGGCAACGGCAAUUAACAAGCAUCAAUGCUAAGCUUCCAAAACUUAACAUGACCUCACUUGUGUGGAUAGUCUGUUCUUAUCCAUAGUCUUCUGACACAAAUUACAUAAUUAGAAGACAAAAAUAACAGACCAAACACAGAAAAGGAAACAAAAGCUUAAUUAUUAUUGAAUAUAAAUACACAUCCAAGAACUGUCAAAAGGACAACCAAUACAAUAGUAGAAAUUCUCUCCCUCCUCUGACAUGUGCGAGGGACACCUUCCUUGAAGAAACAAACCAUAUUUAACAAAUCUUAUUGCACUUGGAGGCAAAUAUCGAGUUCAAGUAUCAUCAACUUGUGAGUGGAACACAAAGCUUGGGAAUGUGGUAGUAAUGUCUCUGCUCAAGGGGGAAAUUAGGUUAAUACUGAUAAACAAAAUGUGUUUUUGUGAUGUCCAUCAGAAUUUCAUGCUUAGCAGAAAAAACGUAUGAGAUUUGAACUAAUACCUCAAUAAGAGAAAAAUGCAUCAAAUAUUUGUACUCAUUUAAGGUAUUGAAGGGUCAUAUUUUUCAGAAGCGAUGGAUGUCGUAGAACAAGGCUUCUCCACUCUUCCUUGUCAAUCUUGCCAUCCUGUUUUGUGUCAGCCUCUUCAAACGUCUGAAACAAUAUUUAACAAGGUUUCAGGGAAGAAACAGAAUCCAACAACUAUUCCUAAAAGUGUUGGAAUCAACAAGGUUUUAUGUUAUCCCAAGUACCUUAUCAAUUAUGCUUUCAAUGACAUCAUCUGAAAGGUUCAUACCAGAUUCAGCACGAGUAGCAACUACCAUUUGUUUAACCUAUAAAUCAAUAAACAGAAAGUUAAAAAACUGAAAGUUCAAUAUAGAAUGCCAGAGUAACAAAAAUAUAUAUAUAUAUAUAUUGAACCAGUAGUACUGACCUCCUGUCUUUCAAUGAAACCUUGUUGUUCAAGAUCAUACAGUUGAAAAGAAACUGCAACAUUGCAUUGCAUUGUUAAAUACAAGGCACCAUAAAAUAAAGCAUUUAAACAAGAAAAAUACAUCAAAUAAUCUGUGGUGUUUGAAUUAGAUUUUAUAUGAAUCUCUAACUUAAACAUGAUAAACGUAUGGAUUCUAGAAAUAGUCAACAAACCUUCUAUAUGUUUGUGUGAGAAAAGUAGUUGGUGCUGGGCAACUGCAGGAUUUAAUUGGUCAGAUGCCGCGAAUAAUUUUGCGGAUGUGGUGCUGCAGAUAUUAAACGCCAGAAAUGAUGACAGGAGCUGCUCUUUUGCUAUGCUAAGUUAUUUCUUAUGGUUUGACAGGAAUAAGCGUAUCUGGCAACAAGCUCAAGCUGAUCCCUAUAGUAUUGUGGUUUCAGCAGCUAGCUUUCUUCGUGAAUGGAGGAAUGCUCAAAGGAAGGAACAGUAGAGGUCUAGUGUUGCCGCUAUUUAGGGAGAUUGCCGCUGGGUUUUGCCAUCUAUUGGUUGCUUCAAAUGCAGCGUCCAUGCAACAGUUAAUAUUUUUUAAUCACUGCUUAUCAAAAUAAAAAUUGAAAUAUUUUUAAUUUUUAACUUUAUUAUUUACUUAAUCAAAAUGAUGCAAUUUUGAGAGUUGGUUUAUUUAAUUAAUUCGGUUAAAUUAACUUUUAACCGAAUCUCUAAUUGAUCAUUGAAAAUCUAUUUUUUUUUUACCAAAUUUUUAACUGAACAAUAAUUCACAUAAUCAAAUUGCAAAACCAAAUAUUCACCCCUAAUUAUUUAUACUUUCUGACAUUCAGUUGCAUUGCAAGCACAGAAAUGCACUAACGUAGAGCCUGAUGCUGAUGUAUUUGAAUCACUUACAGUAUGAUGACAAAGGAAUUAAUUGUUAUAUUGUUUGUAUAAAUUACGUGAAUUUGCUUUAUUUACAUAUAUAUGGAUUAAUAACAAAUGUGUUUAUUAAAUUUUGAUAAGUAAAUGAAAAGUAUUAAAUAAAUUAAAAUAAUUCAAAAAUUAUUAUUAUAGGUUCAAAAAUCAAAAUAUCAAUUAAUCAAUCUAAUUUAACGAGUUAUCAUAUAAUCAAUUACUCGGUGUUAUUAGACUAAAUAAAUAAAAUUUGAAAAAUUAAAAAUUCAUAUAUUUGAUUAAUUCAUAUCAGUAUUCGAUAAUGGAGUAUAAAUAUCCGAGUUAAUAUAAACAAUAAAAUAAAUAUCCGAGUUAAUAUAAACAAUAAAAUUGGUAAAGGAGUAAUGUGUAUAUCUAGAUACAGCAACCAUUGAAUUAUUCUAAUUAGAUUUUUAAUUAAAUUAAAUUUUAAUUAAAUGACUUAAUUAAACAAUUAAAAUUGAUAUAUUUUUUUGUUUCAAACAAAAGUUCAAAACUAAUUAUUUUAAUUGAAUUCUUCAUUCAUUUUAGAUACUUAUCUAUCCUAACAAAUCCUUAAAAUUUAUAUGUAAAUGCUUUUCGUAUUUCAUAUUUUAUGACUUAAAUGUAAUAUUUAUUCGUUUACCUUUUAUAUGAGGUUUAAUCAAAUUAAAAAUUUGUUUUAAUUAUGUUUAAUUUAUAAAUUUUUACUAGUAUUAACUAAAUUUUAUGUGGACAUAAUCAAUUCGUUGAAUUUGUUGCUCUCUACAAAAAUAACCUUUACACAAAAAUAAAAAAGAAAAGAAAAAAAAAGAAAAAAAACAUAUCUAAUCUUUAUCAUCCUCAUCCCCGUAUCGACUGAUACAAGAUCCUGGACUAUAUUCUUCAUCUUCUUUUCAUUUCUUUGUUGCUCCUCUCUCAACCUUUACAAGAGCAAAGUGAAGCCUAUUUUCAACUCUAAAAGACCAGACUUGAAUUAGAUCCUCGUGAUGGAGUCCAUUCUUUUUCUUAAGAGAAUUCCAAUGAGUUCUAAACACAUAAGCUGAAGUUGUAUUCCCAUUUUGCUUUGGAUAAUCCCAUUGCUUGAGUAUCAUAUGACUAACAUCAAGGCAAGGCUCAAUAAUCUUCACUUUUAUUAUUGUUUUUAAAUCUCAUCCCUUUCAGCUUCGUUCAAAAACUCAUAUAAAAUUUGAUUCUUUGGCAUUGAUAAACGACUGUUACCAUCUACUGCAUCAGUUUUUGUUAUUCUUUUCUCUAUUAGUAACUUCCAAUCACUCCUUUCAUCUCUAUAAUCAUUUUCUUGAAUCUUUGAGGUAGUUCAUGUUGUGAAUUCUUUAUUAUAACUUUUCUUUUCUUGCUUUCAAUUUUAGUUUCUGCUUCUCCUUCUCCUUCUCCUUUUUCUUCUUUUUGUCUUUUUGAUGAGCUCCUUCAGAGUUUCUUUGUCUCUUGAAACCUGUACUGAACCCUUUUUCUUUUCCUGGAAAAUAUGCUACCCUCCUUAAAGAUUUUUCUUUAAUCAACCUUUGAAGCUUUUUCUCUUUCUCUAAUUUAAUAGAAGCAAUGUGUGCAACUAACACUAAAGUAUCAAACUUUGACAUGUCUCUAGCUAUAUCCACAUUGUUAGCCUUCAAAUCUUCAAGAGUUAAAAAUCCACUUUCUUCAUUAUUAUCAUUAUCCUCCCUCAUUCUGUAGAAUCUAAUAUUCAAAAAAGAAACCUGUAGCAAGAUUCAAACAAGAAAAAGAAUUUCAAACCUUUAUGCACGUACCACUGUAUAAGUGCCAAAAUAGGCAAUGACACUUAUCAAUUUCCUAUUCAAGUGAACCAGGAUGUAAAAUCAAGAGCUUUUGUGGGUGACUGAAUUUCACGCUUUUGAGGCAACAAGCGGUUUGUGCAACUGAAUCUACCUUUCUCUAUCUAAAGCUCUCUCUAUAUAUAUAAACAGUGAAAAAUCCUAAAAGAUUAGUAAAUGCUUAUAUUAAAAGGCAAUUGGCAAAUCCUUAUGUUAAUAGGACUAGAAUUAAAUUUUAAUUUUUCCUAAAUUAACUAGGAUUAGGAUUAGGCCCUUCUUCAUCGUCUUCUCACUUAGGCUUCUCUCUCUGCUUCACAAACACAGCCACGGCCCAAUAAUUUCUUACUUAUAUGUAUAUGUAUGUUUAUUGGAUGUAUUGUAUUUAGGGAUUUGAAAAAACUUAAAUUAACAUGGACUCUCUAAAUUUUAGUUAUUUUCGAUUGUUAAAAUUCUGAUAAUGUGUGUACAUUGUUGUGAAAGCUCUGGUUUAGCUUGUUAUACUAAUACAAGUUCAAUAUUAAUAAUAUAUUAUUAUUCAUAUUUAGUGUGAUUUUUGCUAUGGAUGAGGGCUUUUCCUUCUGGGUUCUAAGGUAUUUGUGGGUUUAGCUCAUUACUGAAAUGUAAGGCUAUUUUUGUCAUCUAGCCGUUAGCCCAUUACUAAAAUUUGAAUUGCGUUAGAUUAGGGUUUUGGAUUUCAAAUUUUUGGUUUCUGGCUCCAUUUUAAGGGAGAGCUCCCUUCUGAGCUUUUGAGAGGGAAAGACAAAAAAUCCCAAUCUGCAGUUAUAGAUACUCUCUCUCGCUUUCUAUAUUUUUAGUUGUAUAUGCAUGAUCUGUGUCGUACAAUUAAAAUGCGAACGCCAUCCAUAAAUCUCAUCAGCACUCUGUUUGUUUUCUGAGAAAAUUAAAGGAAAAAUAUUUAUCAUUUUCUCUAAGAUACUGAAAUAAAUUUUUUGGUUGCUUGUACAUUUUCAUUUCCUUUCCUUUUUUUUUUCUUGAUAAACUGAAGAAAUAGAGUUCCAGUUUUUAACCUUUAGUAUUAUUUUUGGUGCUUGAUAGUUCAUUCUUGUUCUGUAACUUCAGUUUAAUGAACUUCGAGCAACAUUUAGUAUAUAUUUGGUUCCAAAUUGUGGUGAAACUAUAUAUAGGGGCUAACCUUAUGUUGUUUGUUGAUAAAGAUCAGUUUUUGUACAGGGGAAAUAAUCAGAUGAACACUAUAGUACAUGGAACUCCCAAAUCCUCUAGGAGUCGGUCGUUAUUUUACCAAGAUUUGGCAACAACUGCCUCUGCUCGUAAAGGGAAAUUGUAAAGUCAAGGUCAAGCAUAGAGAAUUUUGGUGGUUCAGACAGUCGUGGAGCCGGGAUUUCAACUUAGGGGGCGAAAGUAUAUACAAUGAGACGUGAAACUAAGAUUAUGAAAAAAUAUCAUAAAAAAAAUGAUAUGCUUUAAGAUUUCCUUAAUGAAUCAUUUCCAAUUGUUUUAUGAAGAAAACAACUCCAAUAAUUUUUUUACAAAUUGGACUUAUUAUAGUCAACAGUCAAAUCAUUGAAUUAAAUGAGAUUUUUAAUUUGGUCUUAAAUUCUAAAUAUUGCUGAUGAGUAAUGAAAAGUUUGAUCAAUGUAUAAUUAGUCCAAACAAUAAUAACAAAAUUAAGAAAUUAAAAAAGAUGAGUGAGAGGAAAUUCUCUAAUGGGGAUAACCUUAACGAGGAAAAAACUGAUGAGGAUCCUAUAAUGAAGAAGGUUAAACAUCAUGAUAAGGAUGAUGGAAACAACAAGGAUAAGGGGUUUGACUCCUCACCCAAUUCUUUCUCGCAGACAUUUUGAGAUAAGAUUGUUCAGGGUAUGGAGGUAGAUAAUGAUGAUGAUUUGCUUGGGGACCCAGAUUAUACCCUUUCCUUGGAGGAUGUCCAAAUUGAUAGGACGAGAACGGUGCUAGAGGUUAGAAUUUCUGAGAAACUUCAAAAGAAUCUUGCUCUGAAAUGGUCAAGAGCUGUUGUUGUGCACCUAUGGGGAAGGAGAAUAAGUUACAAGUCCCUUUGCUCUAAACUAGAGAUUUUAUGGAGACCUAAAGGACAUCAAGUUUUGGGCUUGGGGAAUGAAUAUUUUCUGGUUAAAUUUGAGCUGGAAGAAGACUUUCAUAAAACAGUGUUAGAUGUCCCCUAGACAAUGGUAGGUAGCUACUUUGUGGUGCAGCCAUGGAUUUUUUUUUUUUGACAUUCACAGUUUCUCGUUAAAGAAGGCUGUGGUUUGGAUUUGUUUACCUGGCCUUCCACUUCACCUCUAUCAUAAGAAUGUUUUACGUGCUAUAGGGGAUGUGGUGUGAAGCGUUUACCGUGGAUCCAACCCACAACCUAGAAGUCAGAUCAAAUGUGAUAUUAAUUCCUCAGUUGGUGUACUUCACACACUAGCACGCUCGCAUUUUCUCCAAACCAAGUUGUUAGCCAGCGGAUUUGUUGCUCUUUUUCCAAAAAAGAACCAAUAAUCUUUAGUGGCACGCUUAGCAGGACCAUUUUUGUACAUUCCAUCUUUCACUUGAGUUUUGAGAGAACACCAUGACUCGAAAAGCUCGUUCAGUUGUUGAAAAAGAAACUAUUGCCGGGUCUCUAGAUUCGGAUGGAGGACCUACGAGAGUGAAACAUAGCUUAAUUUUAUUUUCAAAACUUUCGAAUUUCAAUUAAAUUAAAAAUCUGGAUUUUCAACUGUAUGGGCUGCAAAUACCUUAUAAUUCUAAUCCGAGCCCAAAUUUGUAGAGUUGGGCUCAAGCCCAAAACAUAUUAUCGGAAUUUCUGAGUUGAGAACCUUCAAAAAUUUUUCAAGAGUAAAUAUGGAGCUCUAAAUAGUAAUCUAUUAUAAAUAUAUAUAUGUGUGUUUACUAUUUAAAAUAAUUAAUCUAAAAUCAAAUAUCAUUAUUGUUAUUAUUAUUAUUAUUUAGUAAAUUGAGGAAAUAUUCUAGAACCUAAUUAAACCAAUUGAAAAAAAUAAAAUAAUAAAUCAAACCAGUAAAUCUUGAAGCUUCUAAUAAUUGAACCAAACAUUUGGAAAUGAACCAAAUCAGAUAAAGCAAAUCAAGGAGGAGAGAGAAAACCAAAAAAAAAAACUUCCAUCUCUCCUCUCCAUUGCUGACAGCCCCUUACCCCCUUUCUCUCACCGUCUUUCGGCCAACGGCCAUGGAUUUCGGCAACCAAAUACUCUAGAAUGUUCUACUCAUCACAAAGAAUUUGAUUCAAGCCUUGGUUUGCGCAAUUUGGGCUUGAAGUGAGAGGAAACAAUGUUGAGACAUUUGACAUCGUGCGAUUCUAUUCUCUAGUGAGUUCUCGCCGUUUCUGGCCACCAUACACACUGAGAAUGGGUCCAAUCAGUUCCUCAUUGCCUCACAAACAUUUUCCCUCUAUCAAUCGAGGUAUCUUGUGGAGAAUUAUGAAGCUACCAUGAUCGGUGGCUCCUUUGGCAACUGUCGAGGCUUGUUCCAGCCAAAUGGGCCAUGGAGUCAACCAACGGACAUUGGAUUCGAGUUCCCCAUGGAAUUUCGGGUUAGAGGAUGUAAAAGAUGCUCAAUUCUGAUGAAGCCCGAUUUUUCAGCCGCUGCGUACCGUGGCCGGCAGCGGCAGUCCGAUGACCUGCCGACGAGGCUCCGGCGAGACCUUGAGAGGCAGAAUUUCCUCCUCGUCAUGACCUCGCAAUUCUGCAAUUCAAAUUUAACUUUGGUGAGCUCUAGGUUUCGAUAUUAUAUUUUCUUGCUAUAUUCAUUUAGAACCCAUUAGCUUGACUUGGUUAAAGAUUGUUUAAUUACAUAAUCAUAUUUAAUGAGCAUAGUUAGCGGUAGUUGAGUUUAAUUUAGAUAAUUACUGAAGUUAGACCGAGAUAUAUAUAAUUAUAGGAAACUUAAUCAAGUUAAUUGGGCACUAAACAAUCAUGUAAUGUGAAUCCUAAAAAUGCAAGUAAAACAUUUAAUUUUGAAUUCCUUAUUCUUAAAUUGGUAUUAAACUAUAAAUUGGGACCUUAUAUUGUGACAAGUAAUAUUAUGCAAUAUUAUAUUCAUCAUUUAUAAGUUUGAAUAUAAAAUAAUUUUAGGACUUACAUUACUUACCUUAAAACCAAGUAGAAGUCAACAAACCUGUUAGUAUAAGAGCCUAAGUGUAAUGAUGUAAUGGAACAACUAAUGACAUAUUUCAAAACUGUGGUAUGGUGAUAAAGCGGCUGCUAGUAAAGUGACUAGGCAUGCAAAGUAUUAAGGUGAGUGGGGUAUAGAGGCAAUGAUGAUGCUUAUUGGUAAAUGAAAUGUAUUUAUGUAACUAAGUUGACAGAUGAUGAGAAAUGUAUAUAUGUGUGGGCAUUAUAAUUGUAUUUGGAAAAUGAAGUUGUAUGAAAUGAAUUGAUAAUGAGUUGAUGAUGGAGGAUAGGUUUAUGAAUGAGAUUGAAUUUCCCGAUGGAUGGGCUGUGUAAGUUGAAUGUUUCAUAUUGUUUAAAACAGGUAGACAGCUCUAUUUUAGGGGAAAUGCUUUCGAAUUUUAGUAGAAUAAUUAGAAUAAAAACCAAAUAAACCUAACAAGUUAUAAUGGUUAAAAUAAGUUAAGUAAUGGAAGUAGUUCGAAUAAAUCAUGCUAAUUAGGGUAAUUUAGAAACUUAACAUUAAAGGUUCAAUGUGUAGGGAUAAUUGCUUCAAGUUUCCGUUUAUAUAUAAUUCUCUAUAGGGGAUAGGGACAAAAACAUUUCAAUAACCGAUAGCAGAUAAAAGCUUAAAUUAGGAAUUCAUGGAAACUAUUACAGGUGAAUAGUGUUAGAUAAUUCGCAUCAUCCACUUGCAUUUGCAUCCAUGCAUAUACGGCUAAAUGUUAGACAUGCAUUACUUAUUAAAUUGUUACAUUGUGUUGCAUUAUUUGUUGCUAUUCGAAAUGGCUUGAUUAGUUGUGAUGUGCUUCACGUAUGCUUUGCUUGUGUGGAAUUGGAAUGAAGUGGAUCACCACGGAUUUGUGAGGGCAGUCUUUGAUACCGUCGGCCAUGUAUGGGGAGAGCGGCGCCCUCGUGUGCAUCUGAUGAUAUAUGAUAUGGAAAACCAUAGGGUGGCGGCCUAUUGGGAUGGAAAAGAAAAGAGGGUGUAAAAAAAUGAGAGGGCGGGUCAAGUGAGGAUUAGACCGAUCGGCCAUGUAUUGGGGAUCAGCUCCCUGGUGCGCAUGUUUGGGAGGGCGGGUCAUGUGGGAGGAUGGCUCAUUCGGGGUUUCGGUGAUGCCACUGACCAAUUUUCACGUGAUGUGAUUAUGUGAAGGUGUUAAUAUAUGUGAUUGCUAUUGUUAUGUCAUUUGUGUGAUCGACUGUAUGAUCAUAUAACUAGUCGGAUAACUAGAUUGAUUUAUUUAUGCAUUUGUAUGAUUGUGUAGGGUGAGAGGGUUAAUUAAUCUACUCACUGAGUUUAGGCUCUCAUCCCUGCCUUAAUAUUUUUUUUAGGUUAUAAGUCUUCUAGUAUCUCGUGCUUCUUCGCCACUUGACAUUUAGAGGAAAUGUUGAAAAUGAAACCUUAAUUAGUUUUGUUUAGGGUAUUGAAGUAAAAUUUUAAAAUUCUUAGAUUGUUCCGCAAUUAAGAUAGUCAGGUGUAAUAAAAUUUAGAAAUUAUUGAUGUAUUACUUAUUAAAUUUUCUAUCAUGUAAUAUAUUGAUACGAGCCUAGAGAACUAUUAUUUAAAUUAAUUUAUGAUAUUUGAAUAUUGAUGAAAUUGGGCCUAAGGCCAUUUUUUAUUGAACAGGAAGUUCAUUUGGUAUUUUUUCUGCUUACUACGAGCUUCGGUGGCUUUAAGCCUACCCAGGUCCUAGUGCUGGUCCGGCCCACUAUUUCGGGUCGUGACAGAGAGUAGGCCUUGGAAGCCCUAAAAGAGGAAUAUCUCCUCAUGAGGAAGGAGAAAUCAACUCUCCUGCUCAAAAUCCCCUAGAAGUUGCACUUACCUCUAAAGAUUUUAAUAAAUGUCCAGGUAAAAUGACUUCUGUUUCUGAUGAUGUUAUCAUUAACUUUAAUUCUUUUGAUGUGAAGACGAUGCUGGAAGAGCAGAGGAGCAAUAGUCAGAUGAUAGCUAAAUUGUUGCAAACCAUGAAUAUCUUCAUGGAGAAGGUUGACAAUGAUUUUUUGCAAGUGUACGAAAUUGCAACAAGUAAUAUAGAAUGAGUAGAGUAUCGUUCCAAUGAGGAUUGUAUACCAAGUACCAAAAUUAUAUCAACCUACUACUGUUUAAACGAUAAUAAGAAGAUUUAUUUUAAGAAAUUAAUUUUAUCAAAUAAAAGAGAACAAAAAGAAAUCAAGCACGAAUAUUGAUAAAAAGAAAUUAAGGAUUUAAAGCUACAAGGGAUUUUGAUUUCAUUUAAUUCUAUCCAAUUUAUUUUAUUAGUUUGAUAAUCAAUUUUAAUUGUUCAAGUAGGGAAAAUAACCCUAAAAUCACUAACAAGCUCUCCCGAUGCAUUGUUAGCUAUUUUAACCCAGUCUAAUUACCGAUCUUCCAAUAGUGCAAUGAAACAUGAAUUAAAUCAUUAAGUUUUAUGGUAUGUUUUGUGAAUUCAUAACCUAAGGUCGUUAACUUAUGAAAACCCCCCAUGAGUCAAACCAUAUAGCUUCCGCAUCAAGUUAUUAUUCUCAUGUAAUUUUUUACCUUUUUCAUAUCAAAAACCCUUCUCCCAAUAGUGAUUAAUGAAAUAAAUCGAUCUAGGGGAGAAGUUCUGCCUGGAAGCAUUAAGUUUAAUAAUAAAUUAUACCUUGAACAAAGAAAAACGAAUCUAAUAUUAUAAAUUGGAAUUCAAAUUAAGCUACAUCAAAUCUCUAAUAUGAGAGUUUAGUUUGACAUAGUAAUUAAAUAAAACUCAAUUAAACUUAAAAAUAAUUCCAUAAUCAAUAUUAAUGAUGAAAAGUAAAAACAACAUCAAGACUUUAGAGAUAAAAACCAGUCAACAAAUAACGUGGACGGCUUCCUUGAAUUGACACAAAUCUUGAGCACUUGAAGUCUUAGAGAGAGAGAAAACAAUAGAACCAGAGAUGGUAUAUACAAUGAAUGGCUCCCUUGUCUAUGGCUAGUCUCUCUGUUUAUAUAGACUUUCUGAAAUAUCUUCAUGUUUGUUUAGGAAAGUGAAUCUUUAUUGAGUAAGAAAUCUUUUGAAGAUGGAAAACUGUUUAGGCUUUAUAUUUCUUCUCAAUUAGGACUCUCCCAACGUCUAAAUAGGAUUUAAACUUGAUUGGCACGUCAGAAAAGCAUGUCAUACGGGUCCAUGCAAGCGGUAUGGGCUAGAACUGACAUUCUCGGCCCAAGGCAAAAUCUGGUCUUUAGCACAGGCGUGCUAUAUGGCACGGCUUGGGUACAAUAUUUUCUAUAUUUUGGCUGGUUUUCUAUAAAAAUCCUAUAAGAUUUCUCAAGAUCAAGUGAAAUAUGAUUCAAGGAAGCUUUGAACAAAACAUAAAUAAAACUAAAUAAAAACUAAUUAAAGUAAUUAAAAAUACUAAAAAUCCUAAUAAGAACUAUAUUAAAAAUACUAUAAAAAUAACACCUAUCAAAGGUCACUGGAAGGAAGAUUGAUGUUGUGGACUCACCUGUCAAUCAAUCUCCUACUAGCAAGUCUUCUGCUAAGGAGGAGAAUGAAUCUUCAUCCAAGUGCGCCAAAGAACUCAGGGGGCAACCAGCUCGAAGUCCUAGUGGUCGUGCUCUUGCUGAAGAGAGGUAUCAACCACCACAUUGAAGAGAGGAGCCGAUGCACUACUCAUCAAAGGCACCACUUUAGACAAGCCGCCCCACUGGCAGGCCUACAAUGACUCCUACCAUUGUUUUCAAGACCACUAGUCCUAUGACUAACCCAUGUGUCUAUGAGGCUGAGGCUUCUCAUGCUCCUCACGUUGAUAGGAACUAGAGGGGUUGCCUUCAAUGCAGCUCCCCAGAAUACAUACACUGGUGUCACUAAGGUUCCUCAAACGACAGGUAAUCAUGUUCCUCAGAUUCCUUAGGUCACCAUGAAUGUUCUGAGGGAUGCUGUACAGGAGUUGUAUGGGCCUGGCCUCAUACAAGUUGGCCGCCCAGAGUUUGUGAAGUCGUAUUAAAAAAUAAUCAUUAGAGAGAACCGUUAUCCCAGGGGGUAUAAAAUUUCAGACUUUACAUUAUUCUGUGGAGAAGAUGGACAAUCAACCAUGGAGCAUAUAGCAAGAUUCACCAUCCAAUGUGGGGAACUUGUCAAUUUAGAGAAUUUUGCUAACUAUAAGUUGUGGUUGUUUACUAAUUCCUUGACAAGUACACCUUUUACCUGGUAUUCAACACUUUCGAGGAACUCAGUCAAUUCAUAGUAUGAGAUGGAGCAGAGGUUUGUGUGGCGAGUUAUCCAGGCCAACACAAAGAAAUGGAGAGAUGACUGACUCAUUUAUUGCAAGGUUUAAGAAGUUGAGGAACAUGUGUAAGAUGUUCUUACUUGAAAAUGAGUUUGUCCAGAUGGCUCAAAGAGGCUUGGACUUCAAGUUGAGGAGGAAUUCCAAGGGAUGGAGUUUAGAGAUUUCUAUGAGCUAGCGGCUAAGAGGUAGAAUACGAAGAGCUAUUGAAAGAAGAAUCAUAGAGAAAGAGAAGCUCAAGAGGAAGUUAUUAUCAUGAGUGUCAUCAGGAAACGGUUGUGGCUGACUUAGUGAACUCAGGCUCCUGUGUGUGUCCGAACUUAGGAGCCUAGUAAGACAACAUCUCAGAAGAAGAACUCCGAUUCAGAGACUCAAUUUACCUUUGAUGUGUCUAAGAUUUAGGAGAUCUUCGAUUUCUUACUGAAGGAAAAGUUUGUGUCUCUCCCACCUGGUCAUAAGCUGUCGUCGAAAGGAAAGCAAUACUGUAAGUACCAUGAUUCCUGGAACCACAAUACUAGUAACUGUUGGAGUUUCAAGAAUGCUUUAUAGGACCAAAUUAACAGAGGAGUCUUGGCUUCCCUGAUAAAGAACAGAUGCUAAUUGAUAAGGAUCCUUUUCCACUCAUGGCGUCCAUCAAUGCUGUGGAAGUGGCUUUGAGGAAUAUCGUUGACCAAUUGAAGAAGCUGUAGGUUCAUAUGAAGAUCUCAAAUACAUAUAAGAAGCUACAGCUACAUUGGCAGUGAAAGUUUCUAAGGGAAGCUGGUCCAACUGUUGACCGCUUUCCUAUGAAGACAAAAGUGAUUAGAUCUGAACAAAAGUUCCAAAGGAACCAAUCAAGAUUUGUUGUUCCUCCAUCUAUUGAACCAAGCAAGAAGUGUAUGGUGGCGUGAUAUUCGAAGUUGCCUCAACCUCUGACUCGAACUCAAAAGAGAAGGUUGCAGAGGAAAAGAGUAUUGGAGAAGUGGCAGAAGGCAACUUUAGCCAGUUACAACUGCGAAAAUGAGAAAAAUAAGUUCAAGUGUAAAACCAUAGAUGAUGACAUAGAAUCCCAAGGAAGUUCUAUGGAGAAAGAGAUUUCAAAAAGUAACUUUUCAUUUAAAGGUGUACCUUUGCCGUUUAGUUGUGUAGUUACAAGAAUUCUCUUGCCACUAGAGUUCUGGAAGUUCCCAAGGAAGACAUAUGUACCUCAGGAGGAACCAGGUUCUGAUGAACCAGAGAUAUGCAGUGGAGUGACUAUUCAGUGUUCCAAGCCUGGAAAACCAAAAAUAGUAGUGCUUGAGAAGCCUGCAGAAAGCAUGACUCAACAUAUCAUGCCAUUAUAUAUGACUGCACAUAUUGAUGGAAAACCCAUUUCAAGGCUUCUUGUAGACAAUGGAUCAGCAUUGAAUAUAAUGCCAUUCAAAACGCUCUUAGUUAUUGGGAGGACAGAGUAUCUUAUAGCUACCAACAUUAUAGUAUUGGCUUUUACUGGUGAUGUGUCAAAAACCAUGGGAGUAUUGCACUAGAGAUUACUAUUGGGAGUAAAACAUCUUUCUCAGCCUUCUUUGUUGUUAGAUCCAUUAUUGGUUAUAAUCUAUUAUUGAGAAGGGACUGGAUUCAUGCCAACUAGUGUGCGUCGUCCUCCUUGCAUCAGUUUCUAAUAUUUUGGAAAGUUGAUGAUAAGGAAGAUGUGUGGGCAGAUCCUAAACCUUUUCAAGCUAACUCCAAUGCCUUAGAAGCACAAUCAUACGACCCAUCCAUUGUAUUAGAAUGCGUUGGACUUGAAGGAAAGCAGUGGAAGUUAAAGAUAAUUUUUCUCCUGAGGAAGUUGGCGCCUUGAAUCAGACCGAGUUUAUAGUUACUGAAGCUUCAGAGGAUACUAGCUCAUCUCCUGAUAGCUCAUUAGAUGUUGCUGAGGUCAAUUCAACACCGUCAUUAGCCAUCGCACCUUAUAAGAGGCUGAGGUGGGAGCCUGGUAUGGGUCCUGUAUACGUAUGGCACAACCCAAGAGCGAGGGUGAAUUGGGUUUUCUAAAAAUAAAAAUUUAACUUUCAAAAGAAAGAUCAAAAUUCUGUUGCAGCGGAAAUAGAAUGCAUUUGUGAGAGUAAGUUAUUAAGAUUAGAACUUCCUUACAAAGUUCUAAGUAGAAAAUAGAAAGACUUUGUAAAGAGCAGCUACUGAUUAGAACUGCUUCACAAUAUCUUAAUCAAUUUCAAAACUAUUUUAUGAAGGAAAGUUAUUAUGUUUUUGAACUACCUCAUAAAGUUUAGAAAAAUAUUUAAGAGUAUGUGAGAAACAGUUAUUGAUUUUCUAAACUGCUUCACAAAGCUUUAAACAAACUCAGAAAACUGAUUAGGAACCCAAAUUGUGAAAUAUACUGAAUAUAGAAGAACAGAUUAGAACUUGGUAUAUUCACAAUGCAGAAGUCCAGAGUUCUAGUGUUCAGUAAAGAUAAAGCUUAUUUCAGUUUAGAACAUCAAAACCAUUAACAACUUAGCAUUUCUAAAAUAUAAACAGAAGUGUAAGUAAAAUAGCAUCAAGCAGAACUUCAGGAAAUAAAAAGAUUAACACAGCGAUUUAUAGUGGUUCAGCACUAACUCACCUACAUCCAUUCCCUAAGACUCAUCUUGAGAUCCUCCACUAUGUUAUCUCUUUUUUCGGGUAAGAGACAAACCAACAGUACAAGGCAAUAGAUCAACUACCCUUUGUCCUACUAGAUUUUCCAAAGGUUCUAGUCAAUCUCAACCCUUUCUGUUUUUACAGAGAACAGAAACUCAAAUCAAGACAUUAGAAUCUCACUCAAGGAGAAGAUCGCUUGAUAACCUAUUACACAAUAGCUUUUCAACUAAGCUAUUACACAAAUGUUUUUCAAAUAAAAAAAAAACCUGUCCACAACAUAUUACCGAAUCUAUAUAGAUAGAGAGAAAUGAGAAUAUAAGCACAGGAAAAACAGAAAUUAAGAUUAGAAAAUCGUUUUAAAGAACAUAAUAUGUUUUUCAAAAGAAGUUGUUAUGAAAUUUUCUUUUCUCUUUUAAAAGUAAUACGUGAAAUAACAAGAUGAAAAGAAAUAACGAGGUUGAGAGUAAAUCUUGAGAGAUUAAAGAUUUGAUCAAUGGACUUAUACUCUUAAAACAAAAACCGGCGUCUUUACAAGGGAAAGACGCCUUUUAUAGAGAGUGAUGAGAAUCUCGUUUUAGAAAGUAAAAUCUUUUCUUUUCAAAACAGAAUAUUGACUUUCCAAAUUUAGAAGAUACGGAGAUCUUGUUACCAAAAAUUCUUUGAGUCAAGAUCUUUUCUUUUAAGGUAAGCGAAUAAGAAAAAAAUUUUAUAAUUUCCUUUAAAAAUAAUUUUCGAAAAUAAGAAUAUGAAAAUCUUUUUCGAAAUAUUUUAUUACAAAAAAUGAUUGAGACAAAAUCUCUUUCAUUUAGGUAAGUAAAGAAAAGCAAGAUUUUAGAUUUUCCUUAAAAAUUAGUUUCCAACAAUAAAAACAUAAAAAUCUUUUUCGAAUUGUUUUUAUUACCAAAAACGAUUGAGACAAAGUCUAUUUAGGUAAAAAAAUUGGAUUUUUAUGGAGAUAUUUUUCAAAAAUGAGAAAAUCUUUUUCCAAAAAUUUGUUACCAAAAUGACUGAGAUAUAAUCUCUUUCAUUUUAAGUGAGAGGAUUUAAGAACGAAAUCUUUGACUUUUUAAGGAAACAUUUUCGAAAAAAUUUUUAAGAAAGAGAGAAGAAAUAUUUUUGUGCUUAUAAAUGAACAUUCUGUCUAUCCUACAACAAAUCCUAAAACACUAACCACUAAGAUCUUCAAUGGUUUUCAUGAUCUUUGUUUAUCCUUGGAUUUCUAGGAUUUUGCUUCGUUUAUUAUUUUUCGUAUUUUAAAUCUGCAUAAAAUAAUAUUAGCACAAAUAAUAUAAUUUAAAUUUAUUUAUUUUGCUUUAAUCAUCAAAAUCUAGAGAUAAAAAAUUGACUCUUGAGCCAACACCUGGGGUGAUAGAGCUCCAUGAUUAAGAAAAUAUUAUCUAAUGAUGGGAUGGCAACAGCUACAGUUGCUAUCUCCAGAGCUUAUUUGCGGUAACUGUUUGACAGGUUAGUUAUAGAGGAGUACUUGGAGGUUGAUGGUACUGAAGUGAUCUUUGGGGAAGAAUUAACAUUUAUUAAGUUAGACGAUAUCCUUACUGAAGUCCAAGAUCUUUUGAAGGAAGUCAACCUCAGUACCCCUAGGAAUUCAAGAAUUCCAUAUGUUAGUAGCCUAUUGAAACCUGAGUGAAAAUAGAAGCUCAUACAUUUUUAUGGUCAUAAGGGCCUAGAUGAAAUGUUUAUUGGCUAUCAAGUAGUACAGGAGAGCCGCACAAGAGAAAUGUCAGUAGUCAUUACCUAAAGGAGUACUAUCCCACCAGGUGGAAAAUGAAGGAUGUCAGCAAUGGCAGUGGGGCUGAUCUGACGAUCCCAUUAAGAAAUGUCACCUGUAGCAAGCAAUAGGCAGGUGAUAUAGCUGAUCCCACGACAAUCAUGAAUAAAGUAAAUAGGCCUAUUGGCCGUUUCUUUUAUAAAUGUGUAAAGGUCGAUUCACGGCUUUAAAUAUAUUCAUACAAACUAAAAAAAAGGAGUAAAUCUUAUGUAAUGGAUCCUUAAUCUCAGUGAUAACAAACAAAUAAAAUUAAAAGAGGAGCCAUCUACAUGUACGACACAGGGCAAUGCAAUAGAGAGCAAACCUGUGGAGAAGAGAUAACUUGAACAUCUGAAUCUUAAAUAGAGAGAAGAGGAGACUGUCAAUCAGAAGACAUAUGAGCUAGGGGAGUCACCUCAAUUCAAAAAAUAUAUCUAGAAACAGCUGAUAGAGAGGAUAAUGAACCAGUUGCCAAUGUCCUUAGAGAGAACCUGAUAGAACGAAAUGAUGUAAAGUUUAGCAAAGGACCUGACUUGAGGAGCUGGUGUAUUAGCAAGGGCAUCCCUGAAGGAGUUAGCAAAUGAAGCAGUGGAACCAUUUGGUAGAAAAUUAAAGGUAUAUAAUUCGUUAGGCAAUUUAUAUUCAUCUCAGAGUAACUAGUUUUUCCCUUAGUCAGAGUAGAAAUAUAUUUUCACUGGUGCCAUAAUCUGAAAAAAUGGUUGCCAGUGGAAUUGGUAUCGAAAAUUUGGUGCCUCUGGAAUAAUUUUUUAUUGGUUUCAUUGCUAUGAUUCUUCAAAAAUUCAUCAGAGACAAAAUACAGGCGCCAAACCAUAAUUCACAUUUCACAAAUUCAAUGCCAUCUAAAAAAGACCCACUUUUCUAUUAUUUAUUAUAUAUAUUAUUAAAAAACAGAGAAGAGAAAGGAAAGUGAGCUACGCCGUGCAAUGGUGGCCAAAGAUGGCCACCAAAUGAUCACGUUAUUAUUUAGAAAAGAAAAAAAAAAAAGCAAGAAAAGAAAGAAGAAGAACGAACCUAUAUACAGUGGCAAUUUUCCAAGCAUGACAUGUUUAAAUUUAUUUUUUAGAAAAACUAGGCAAUUUUCCGCGCAUCGCACGACUGUACAACAAUAUUUUUUAUUUGAAUCGUAAGAUAUAUGUUUUAAGUAAAAUUUUGAAAAUUCAAAAUGUGGAGAUUGAUAUUGCACCUUCUAAGAAAUGUGUGAGUUUUAAAAAAGAAAAAGUUAAGAAGAUAAUUGUAACAUUAGUUUAUUGUAUAGUUUACAACACAUAUUUAAGUAUUUUUUUUUAGUUAAGAUUUGCCUAUGAUCAUGUAUAGCUUAUGUUUCCUUAAAGUAUCAGCAGACGCUGAAAUUUUCUAUUAAAAAUAAAAUGAAGUGUAUAAUUUUAUAUAUAUGAAUAUGACAUGUUAUAUUUCAAAAUCAUAUCCAUCGAAAUAGAAACAUGUACUAAUUGAAUUGCAAGAGUUUUUCUCCUUAAGUUGAUAGUGAAUUCACAGUCAUCUCUGGAAUCAAAUUUUUUUUUUCUUAUUGAAAGAAGCCUAUAAAAUCAUAUUUCUUGGUAAUAUUGGUUGUCUUUCGAACCUAAAACACUCAAAAUGAUUUAAAAUUAGAAAUAUGAUAGAUCCAUAACUUAAAAAGAAUCCAAAAAGAGAGGUUAAAUGGUAUUAUUUACCACAAUCUAUAACUUCAAAUACAUAACGAAGUGGCUAAGGGUCUUUCUAAUUUAUUGCUGAUUAAUUUGAAUCACUUUGUUAUGUUAAUUAAGCUACAACUUUACAUAUUGGGUUUUUUUUUAGAAAACAGUAGCAUUUAACAAUAUAUUAUUUUAUUUUAUUUAAUAAAUGUAUGUUUAAUUAAUAAUUUUUUGUUUUAUUUGUUAGAAUUUUAUUAUGGUAAAUGAAGAGUUUAAACGUUAUCACGGUAAAUGAAAAGUUUUGAAAAAGUUCAAAUAAAUUUUUUUAAUGAGUGCUUUAAUAAUUAGUGAUUAUUUAUUUUUCUUACUGUUUUAUGUUGUUAGAAGAUGAGCGGUGUAACAUUUUUUUUUUAUUAUUUUGUAACAAAUAAAUUUUAGACAAAAUUUUAGGAUAAUAAAGUAGCUAAUAAUUUGUGUCAUCUCAUUUGUGGUUUUAAUUUUAGCCUUAAAUUUUUGUGUCCCUUUUGUGAUAUUCAUUGAGCUAAUUUUUCGUUCUUCACUUUUUUAAUAGUAAAUGCCAAAUUUUUUCUUUUUUAUUUUUGUUUAAAAAGUUUCCUUUUUUUAAAUUUACCUUUUAUGAACUGAUUUACUUUUAAUGCAGUGUAUAACUCAGUUACUGCCAAAUAAUUGUACUCCUUAAUAUUCAAUGCAAUAAAAGCCACAAAAGAUAUAUAUAUAUAUAUAUUACUUUAUUUUCUCGUUGAAAUCUCUUCAUUUUCUUUUUGAGAUCUCUUAGAAAUCUGAAAUCUCUCACAAUUAAGAUAAAGAAAAUACUCAAUUACUGUAAAUUCUCUCUCCUCAAAUGAAGCGUCACACCAGUAUAUAGGAAAAAUAUUCUCUCUCCUCAAAUUUGGUGCCUUUGGAAUAAUUUUUUAUGGGUUCCAUUGCUAGGAUUCUUCAAAAAUUCAUCAGAGACAAAAUACAAGAGCCAAACCAUAAUUCACAUUUCACAAAUUCACUACCAUCUAAAAAAGACCCACUUUUCUAUUAGUUAUUAUAUAUAUUAUUAAAAAAAGAAAAGAGAAAGGAGAGUGCACUAUGCAGUGCAAUGGUGGCCAAAGAUAGCCACCAAAUGAUCACGUUAUUAUUUAAAAAAGAAAAAAAAAAAGCUAGAAAAGAAAGAAGAAGAACAAACCUGUAUACAACGUCCAAAAUUGGUUAAAGCAAUAUUGCUUGAUUCUUGAAAUUAAAAAGUCACUUAUUAGAAGGGACAAAAGUUUUUGCCAGAAGAAGUUAACGAAGAUUGGUGGAUGUGCAAAGUGAAAAGUGAAAGGAGGGUUAGGGUUUUUCUUGUUGAUUUGUUUGAAAUUGUAUUUUUAAUUUUUGUAUUUUUUUUAUAAGUGGGUUAAAAUUUUUUAAAAUGGGCUAACAUAUUAAGCAUGACUUAUCAGGCCAACUUAAUAUGGGGGUCAAUUGUUGAACUCAUUUUGUGAUUUUUUGGAAUUGGGUUUAGUAUUUUGGAUUGGGCCCCAAUUAAUAUUGUUUUGAGUAAUUAAUUGGUUAAUUAAUUUUUAUUAAUUGAUUAAUUAAUUUUUAUUAAUUAAUUAAUUAAUUAAAAGAAAGAGACAAUUGAAACGUGGGCUGCAGUUGAACAAAAAGAGAACUCCUCAAGCCCACUCCUCAAGCAAUUGCUCAUGUAUAGGAAAGUGGAAGAACAAAGGAGCUAAUGGGAACGUGUGUCAGUGGCUUCUUUUGAUAACUGUCUGUGAACCUAUAAUAGCAGCAAGAGGGACAAAUAAAAAGAGAACCAAAAUUCUUCGAUGAAUUCAAAUUAAACUCUCCAACGAGUCAAGCAAUCAAGCUCUCUUUACAAUUUCCUCUGUUCAAAUUUAUUUUAAAUUGCACAAUCGGUGAAGCGUUUACCAUGGAUCCAACCCACAGCCUAGAAGUGUCACGUCCGACUCUAAUCACCAGAGGAAUUGUCCCCAUACAAGAUUGGCAGGAUCCGCAUGGUUUUUUCCCGUAAAUGAAAUAGGAAACUUCCCAGGAGGUCACCCAUCCUAAGAUUUCUGUUAAGCGGGCCCGCUUAACCCUGAAGUUCUUCCAACUCUCUAGCCAUUCCACCAAAAGUUGCCUCUAAUGAUUAGUUUCUCCCUUUUUGAUAUAUGAUUCGAUUCAUUCCUGUGUCACGCAUUCCACUACCUUAGCUAGCCUACCAUCCUAAAAGCUAGCCAGGAGCUUCGCUCUACUCACCCUCUUAGGAUUGCUUUGCCGAGUCAGGAUGUCACAGGCCCACCAGCUUCCGCGUGGUUCAUCCUCGAACCAUACAUCUACUGGAGGGGGUCCAGCUCUGAUACCAAUUGUCACGCCCGACUCUAAUCACCAGAGGAAUUGUCCACUUUGAAUCAAGCCAAGUCUCCCAUACAAAAUUGGGGGAUCCGCACGGUUUUGUCCCUUAGGUGAAAUGGGAAACUUCCCAGGAGGUCACCCAUCCUAGGAUUUCUGUUAAUCGAGCAUGCUUAACCCUGAAGUUCUCCCAGCUCUCUAGCCAUUCCACCAAAAGGCGCCUCUAAAUGAUUAGUUUCUCCCUUUUCAAUAUAUGAUUUGAUUCAAUCCUGUGUCCCGCAUUCCACUACCCUAGCUAGCCUGCCAUCCUAGAAGCUAGCCAGGAGCUUCGCUCUACCCGCCCUCUUAGGAUUGCUUUGCCGGGUCGGGAUGUCACUGGAAAAAUAAGGAGAAGAAGAAGAAGAAAGUGACGCCUAAGGAGGAGAAGAAGAAGAAGAAAAGAGAAAGUUGUUGCUCAAUUAUUGAAGGUUGACUUAUAUAGAGCAACAAAGGGCUUUUUAGUCUUUUCCCAUAAUUGGAUGGCUAGGAUUGGGUCAAUAGUAAUCUAAUCUAAUGGCUACAAAUAUUCUCCAAUUAAAUUCCUUCAAAAUAUUAUUUAUCUCUACAAAAUUCUUAAAUUUACUCCAUAAAAAUAAUUCCCCAAAUUUCCUUAAUUAAUAUAACAUUAUAAUUCACUAUUCACUAAUUAUUUAACUUCUCCAAAAAUAUUCAUUACUUACUUUCCACCCAUAAAAAUCAUGUAUGCAUACUCCAAAAAAUAUUAAAUAAAAUAUAAAACAUAAAUAGUAAUUUUUCUGAACCAAAAUAAUACCGAUUCCCAGACCAGAGGUACUAUUCACAGACCGGUGGUACUAUUCAUAACCCGGUAAAUCACUGUCCAUCUAUAAUUAAUUACAUUCAAUAUCUUCCGCGGAUCUAAAUAAAAUAUUAUCCCCCUCUCUGCAGCACCAUUCAUGACCUGAUAAAAUAAUACCAUUUUAAGAUUUAAAAAUUUUGGGGCGUUACAAGAAGUCAGAUCAAGUGUGAUAUUAAUUUCUCAGUUGGUGUAUUUCGCACACUUGGCAUGCCUCCAUUUUCUCCAAACCAAGCUAUCAGCCAGUGGAUUCAUUGCUUUUUUUUCUAGAAAAGAACCAACACAACCUUUCUUAACUGGAUUUCAAACUCAAAUCGAAAAGAGGAAUGGCAUGGAUUUUGUUUUCAUUAUUAUUGUGAUCGAAUAGUCAUAUCAUACGUUCUUGUACUUAUAAAUUAGAGAAUGAGAAGAAAGGAAAAGUCAUGGGGUCUAAACUUAGAUUUGGUCCCUAGAUGAGAGCCUCAUCUUCUGUACAAUAAUCAUUUGGAAGAGAAACUUGGUGGAUUAGAAUCCUUGCAACUGUGGAUCAAAGAACAAGAUGAUAAAAGGAAGGUGCUGGAAUCACAAGUGGAAUGAGUUAGAGAUGACAUCAACAAAAAGGUAAGGAUUAUCUCAUUAAUGAGCCACAAAAUAAUGAUGGUGAUGCAGCUUCUUUAACCUUCUUAGAUUGUGCCACGAAGCAAAACUUUGGUACAUAUAAAAGUUUUGCUCAGUCGUUAUCCACUUUUUUGAAAAUAUCCAUAGUGCAAUUAUAAGAUAGCAUUUCUAAUUUUCUACCCUUAGUUCAUUACCUUUUCCUCCCUUUUCAGAAAGAACACCAUGACCUAACCCCACUACUAAGGCUUUUGUUCAAGAUCUAGAGGAUAAUCGAUCACUUAAUAUUGGGGCUAUUCCUUUCCAUUUUUCACAAAGUUUUAGCCUAGAUUAUGACAACCCAAAUUGCAUUAUUAAAUAUGUGGGGCCAUAUAACAAUCAACAAUCCACUUAAGGCCAUAGCAAUUAUCCAUAUAAUUCACAAUUAAUGCCAAUAAUUCAAGCAAUAUAAUAUUUCCUCUGUCCCAUUUUGUUUGUAUGGUUUGACAAAACACGCAUAUUAAGAAUUUAGUCAACAAAAGUUAUUUUGCCAUUUUAUACCCUUUAACUCAUUGAAGAUAUUAAUAAAAGUUUCUCAUUUAAUGAAGGAUCAUAAAUGUUAUUACGGAAAAAAUAAUUAUUUACAUAUCUAAAUGUAGAAACCCUGCAAACAUUUUGGGACAUCCAAAAAAGGAAUAACAAGCAAAAAAAAAAAAAUGGGACAGAGGGAGUAACUAUUAUUUUCCUCCAAUUAUUCUAACCACUAGUUCGAAAAAUGCUUCUUCUUAUCCUCUAGAUUCUUUGAACUUUGACACUCUAGUUUUUUUAUUUAGAGAUUUAUGCUAUCCCCACCAAUCCACAAAUAACCUCAAAACUUUAUGGGAAGUACUCUCUAAAGCUUUUUAAUCAUCUUAUAUCUAAACUAUUUGAGAAACUCAAACUAAGAUAACAUUAUUUGAACUAAAGAGGAAACUUUUGGAACGAUUGGCAAGAUAAUGCAAUCAGCUGGGAAUUACCAAUAUGGGGGGAUCUAAAGAUGGAAAAAUAUUAGUUGGAUUGCCUCAUUUUAUUGAAUUGGAAAGUGGAAAGAAGCGACCGCUAAAUGAGGAGGUAGAAAAUUUGCAAUAAAAAUAUUUUAUUUUGGCUAGAUGAAUCUCAUCCUGAAAUGGGAGAGGGAACUAGUAGAAAUGCGUCUUUAGGGGAAAAAUAAAGCUUUUGGCUUGAAACUACCAAGGUUUUUAGUGAACCCUUGACAGUUCACCAUCUUAAAGGAAUGUCUUUUUCCCAUUCUCCAAAUAUAUUGUUUUUUGUAGAUAACAAAAAAUAAGAGCUCUUUUAUAUAUAAAAAGCUUCAAAAAUAUGAUUGUUCUCAAUUUUACUUUGUUGAACCUAGGGAUAUGGCUAGUGGGUUAUCUUUGGUAUGGCAAGAUCAUGUUAGAAUAGGCUUAAUUCACUUGUCGUACCUUAGAUAUAUAUGCUAUCACAUUACCAUACCUCUGAACCAAUUUGUCACAUAAAUAUGUAUCAACUUCAAUUUAGUAAACAUUAAGUAAAAAAAUUUCCUUUUAACAUGCUGCAAGAGGUCUCUUAAAAUACUUUAUACUUUAUUGCCUGACGCAGCAGGCCAUAUUAGCCAUUCCUAGUUUUCUUUCUUUUUGCCAUAUUGCCAUAUUGCCCUUUAUUUUUCUUUUUGUUAUUGUAUGAUAGCCGAUAACUGCCUUCACUUCCAGGCAUGAGAUGUUUAAAUUUAUUUUUUAGAAAAACUAGGCAAUUUUCCACGCAUCGCGCGGCUGUAUAACAAUAUUUUUUAUUUGAAUCGUAAGAUAUAUGUUUUAAGUCAAAUUGUGAAAAUUCAAAAUGUGGAGAUUGAUAUUACAGCUUCUAAGAAAUGUGUGAGUUUUAAAAAAAAAAAAAAUUAAGAAGAUAAUUGUAACAUUAGUUUAUUGUAUAGUUCACAACACAUAUUUAUUUAUUUUUAGCUAAGAUUUGCCUAUGAUCAUGUGUAGGUUAGGUUUCCUUAAAGUAUAAGCAGACGCUGAAAUUUUCUAUUAAAUAUAAAGUAAAGUGUAUAAAAUUAUAUAUAUGAAUAUGAUAUGUUAUAUUUUAAAAUCAUAGCCAUUAGAAUAUAAACAUGUACUAAUUGAAUUGCAAGAGUUGGUCUGCUUAAGUUGAUAGUAAAUUCAUUGAUCUCUGGAAUCAAUUUUCAUUUUUUUUUAUUGAAAGCAGCCGAUAAAAUCAUAUUUUUUUGGCAAUGUUGGUUGUCUUUUGAACCUAAAACACAUAAAAUGAUUUAAAAUUAGAAAUAUGAUAGAUCCAUAAAUUAAAAAGAGUCCAAAAAGAGAGGUUAAAUGGUAUUAUUUACCUCAAUUUCUAACUUCAAAUACAUAACGAAGUGGCUAAGGGUCUUUCUAAUUUAUUGUUGAUUAAUUUGAAUCACUUUGUUAUGUUAAUUAAGCUACAACUCUACAUAUUGGGUUUUUUUUUUUUUUUUUUUUUUUUAGAAAACAGUAGCAUUUAACAGUAGAUUAUUUUAUUUUAUUUAAUAAAUGUAUGUUUAAUUAAUAAUUUGUUGUUUUAUUUGUUAGAAUUUUAUUAUGGUAAAUGAAGAGUUUAAACCUUAUCACCGUAAAUGAAAAGUUUUGAAAAAGUUCAAAAAAUUUUUUUUAAUGGGUGCUUUAAUAAUUAGUCAUUAUUUGUUUUUCUUACUAUUUUAUGUUAUUAGAAGAUGAGAGGUGUAAUAUUUUUUUAUUAUUAUUUUGUAACAAAUAAAUUUUAGACAAAAUUUUAGGAUAAUAAAUUAGCUAAUAAUUUGUGUAAUCAUUUGUGGUUUUAAUUUUAGGCUUAAAUUUUUGUGUCCCUUUUUUUAUAUUCAUUGAGCUAAUUUUUCGUUCUUCACUUUUUUAAUAGUAAAUGGAAAAUUUUUUCUUUUCUAUUUUUGUUUAAAAAGUUUCCUUUUUUUAAAUUUACCUUUUAUGAAACUGAUUUAUUUUUAAUGCAAUAUAUAACUCAGUUACUGCCAAAUAAUUGCACUUCUUAAUAUUCAAUGCAAUAAAAGCCACACAAGAUAUAUAUUUAUUUUUUUACUUCAUUUUCUCUUUGAAAUCUCUUCAUUUUCUUUUUGAGAUCUCUUAGAAAUCUGAAAUCUCUCACAUUUAAGAUAAAAGAAAACACUCAAUUAUUGUAAAUUCUCUCUCCUCAAAUGAAGCACCACAUCAAUAGAUAGGAUAAACUCACGAUCCUCCUUUAUAUAUAUAUAGAUAUAUAUAUAAUGAUUUUUUUUUGUUUCAGUUAUCUGUAAUCUCUCUUUAUCUAGUGACUUCAACUCGAUGUUUACUUUUCUUAAACUUUCUAUUAGUUAUGCAAGUGGAAUGGCUAAAUCUUGCAUGCUUCUCACAUUGCUCUUGUAAUGCUCUCUGUGAAGAUUAUAUGGGGAAAAUGUGUAAAUAGUUAGGUAUUUACGGACACCGUGUACAAUCUAUAUAGAGAAAAUGACUUGUUAGAAGUCUAACUGCAGUGCUAGUCCAAAGUUAUUCAUAGCAGCUUUCAUCAAUGAUGGAUAAAGUGGAUCAUGGCAUAUGUUACUUUUGUAAAAUGUUCUGUUAAAAUUAAUGGUGAGCAUCAUGGUUUUAUUCAAUCAACUUGUGAUAUAAGGCAGGGAGAUCAUUUUUCCCUUCCCUUAUUUCUUAUGUUGCAAAAAGGUUAUCCUUUCUUCUUUCUCAAGAAGAGUAGGAUGUUCAUCUUUCAAGUAUUAAAAUUGUUAAACGAUGCCCAUCAACCUCUCAUCUAUGUUUGCUGAUGAUUCUAUUUUUAAAAUAAGGCUAAGGAAUCUGAAGUGCAUGUUCUACAAUGAAUUUUAUCCAAGCAUGCUGAAGCUAGUGGUCAAGUUAUUGAUCAGGAUAAAUAUUCAAUUUUCUUUAGUCACAAUAGUCUAAGAGGGAAGUUGGCUAGAUUGUUAGCAAUCGAAAAUCUAGGAGGGCAAGAUAAAUACUUGGGAUUACCUUAUAUGAUCAUUAUAUCCGAAGGUGGUAGUCUUUCGAGAAAUUGCAGACAUGAUUUAAUAUAAAUUGAUGGGAUGGAAAGAGAAGUUUUUAUCUCUAGUGAGGAAGGAUAUUUAAUUAAGGCAGUAGCUAUGGUCAUUCCUAUUUAUGUUCUCUCUUGUUUUAAAAUUUCAGCCAACUUAUGUCAAAUUAUCUCAAAUUUAUGGUGGGGACAGCAACAAGAAGAAAAGAAGAUCCAUUGUGCUUCUUGGAAGAGUCUUAGUAAAAUUAAAACGGAAGGAGGUUUAGGCUUUCGUAACUUGGAAAGCUUAGCCUUACUUGCUAAAUAAGGCUAGGACUUUUAACUUCUCCUACUUCAUUGUUGGCAAAGAUUCUUAAAGGGAAAUAUUUUCCAUUUUUAAACUUUCUUGGCGAGUAUUAAUUUUUCAUGGGGUUGAAGAUGAAAGUGAAGUUCUUAAACAGAGGGUGAGAUGGGAUGCAAUGGAGAAUCAAUCUCUUGUCAAUAUUAUGCUUGGUUUCCUACUCAAUAUCCUUUCAAGUUGCGUCUUAGGGAUAAUGGAGAUCAAUACAAAUUAAUUAAUAAUUUUGUUGGUACUUGGAAUGUGCAAUUAAUAAGAAGCCUCAUUAUUAAACAAGUUACUCAAGCUAUACUCCUUAUCCCUCUUAGUUUGACCAGAUUGGAGAACAAGUUAGUCUAGCAUUAUGCAAAUAAUGGUCGUUACUCUGUGAGGUCUGAUUGUAGAAUUGCUUGUGCCCUGCAUUCUUCAAAUCAAAAUAUAAAUAGUGGCAAAUGCAUAAAUUUACCCUUGUAAUUUACCAAAAAAAUCUUGUGGCACUCUAAACUUUAUAAGGAACCUAUUAUGUCCCCGAAGUUAUAAAUUUUGGCAACAUUGUAUCCUUCUCCGACUAGCAAUAAUAAAUUUUUUAGUGUUUUUAGCAUUUAUAUGCAAAAUAUUCACUUGAUGUGUGGUUAGUAUAGUCUUUAAAACAAUAAUUUUCACAUUUUUCAACUAUCAAAUAAGUAUUUAAUUGAUCUAAUUUUUUUGGUUUGAGUAUUCAUGUGACGUGAAAGGAGUUCUAUUUGCCCCUCAUGGUAGCAAAUUUGGUUGCUUUUAUUAGAAAUGGAGAAUCACAUGCUAUCAUGGUUUAUAUUCUUUGGCAAAUAUAGGAAGGAAGAAACAAUUUAAUUUUCCAACAAAUUCAAUGCAAUGAUUAUCACACCUUAUCCCCCUACAAAGCAAGACAUACCUCUUGUAACAUGAACUUCAGACACCUAGACUGGUCCAUAAUUCUCUAAAAAUCAGGUUACAAGGGAUAGUGUACCAUUUAAAACCAUUCAUUAACUUAGUACUUUACUUAAAAUAGAGUGUAUCUGGUAAAGUAAUUUAAAAAUUUUUGUGGAAAGGAGUAGUUCUUGAAAAUUUUAUAAUUUCAACUCUAGUGGUAGUAAACAUUUAAAACAUAGAUCAAUAUACAUUUAUGGUAUCAUCUUGGCAAGUCCAUAACCCAACAUUCAUCAGGCAUUAGAAUUGCAUAUUUCCAUUUCCUUACAUAAACAUUCAUAACAAUUCAGAGUUUACAAGCUAUAUACAACACAAGUCAUUACAGUUGUUUUAUUGUGUUACAUAAUGUAAUUACAUUCAAACAAAGUUCUUAUUCCAAUCUCUCUGUCAUAUUUCUAACUUUGAUUUGCAUAAACACACUCAAAAAUUAAAAAAUAAAAAAUAAAAAAUAGUAAAAUUUUUUUUGUCAAAAAUAAGUAAAUAAGUUUUUAGUAUAAUUUUAAUUAUAUUAGUUCCAUCAGUGAAGUUAUCUAUUGGUAAAGAAUACUCAAAAAUAAAAAUAAAUAAAAUCUACAGUCGCCUCCACCACCACCAAAACUAUCUCCAAAACCACCAUCAGACUUUGGUCAAUCCCUGCUUUUUCCAAUCUCUCAAUUAUCCGAUUAAAACAAAUAUUGGUAUUUCCCUUUUCAACCUCACCAAUUUGUUAAAAGACAAUUAUAGCCAACAGAUUCACCAACUAAAAUCGGUCCAUCACCACCACUCUUACAAAUCGCAGUAGAGAAGGUUGAAAGUUUCAAAAAGUUUUUCAUUUAGGCAACUAAUAGUUCUCUGUUGUUGUUUUUUUUUUCUUUUCCAUCACUUAAUAAGGCAUGUGCAUCACAAACAACGGCUCUAUAAUAAAAUAAAGUUUUAUUAUAAGCUAAUUGAUGCAUAACACCUUUCAUGCUUCUUAGCCAUCUGUACAUACUAAGAAGGCACUUCUCUUUCUAAACUGAAAGCUCAAGUUAGCAGUUACCCUUCUCUAAAGAUCAGUUUAAAAUGGAUCUUGAUUUAGUUAUCCUCACUACUUUGAAUGUCGUUUGCCGACCGCAGAAGAAGGAAGACUGAGGAAAAUGAAGAGACAGAAAAUAAAGAGACGGGUAAGGAGAGAGGAGAUGAUAGUGAUGGUGAGUGAUUGAGGAUAUUUUAGUUAAAAAAAACUUCUCUCUCCUUUGAAAGUAUUUUAUUGCUUUGACUUACGGCUAAAUACAGAAAAGUGAACGAAGGACUAAAGUGUUGAACAGAAUCAUAAUUCAGAGUAUUUUAUAAAAAGCAUAUUCUGACUAACGUAUUUUAAAGGUAUGUAAAAGUGAUUUUCCCUUCUUUUUAAUCAAUUCUCAUAUAAAUAGUCAUUUCAAUCUUUGACAAUAAAUCAUUUUUCAAACUAUUUUUCAGGGAACAAUCAUUUUCUUUGUCUCUUUCAAACUUAGAGUAUGCUUUUGGUUUAAUCAUUUCUUGUUUCAUCAAUAUACAUUUAAGACAUGUUAAUCAAAUCAUGUGCAUGUAUAAAUAAACAUUUAAACUUGUAAAUCUUCUGCUUAAUGUUAAAAGCAAGGGUUUCAAAAAAAGUAUCAUUUAAGAAAUGUUACCUUUUUCAAUUCUUCAAACAAUUCAAAACACAAGUUGUGCACAAAUCUCAAUUCAAAUCUUUUAAUGAAUUAGGUCAACCAACCUCCUUAAAUUGCCCACCCGUUUUUAAUUUCUAGCUUAAAGUUGAAAUAUAUAUAUAUAUAUACAACUUUCAAAAUCAUUCCUGAUACUAUUAGAACUAUUUUUAUAGUAUAACUAAUCGAUACGUCCAUCGGCAUUAAUUUUGUUGUUUACCUAAGUAAAGAAUGUCCCGUUUAGUUGUAACUAUAUCUUGACUAUUUAAGCACCUUAAUUUCUUAUUUAACUAUCAUUUAGGCAUUUUAUCAAACACUUGGUGUGCAUGACUUCAAUGCAUAUCUUUCUUACUUUCCUUUACAAUUUGGACUCCCAAAAAAUAUUGUUGUAUUCCCCAUCCAUCAUUUAACAAUUUUGUGUUUCAAAUUCAAUAAACUAUUCAUCAUUUAACACAUUAAAAUAUAUCAAAGGUUACAUCUUUUUUUGAAUAUUUUCUUAUGUUCAUUAGAUUUCCAUAACCAUAUUACAAUAGCAAUUUUAGUUCUAACAUGAUUUCUUCUAAUCUCACUUGAUUACAUAAUUAGGAUGUUUCAUAACUUAUGAAGCCAAUUAAUUCAAAUUAAAAUCAUAUCCUUUCACUUGUCCUGCACAUUGCAGAACCAUCUCUGAGAAACUUUAGGUGUGUUUUCUUCAAUUCAUUCAAAUUAAAGCUCAAUUCAUAGUUAAUACAACCUAAACUAACUAGCAAACACUUUAAAUCAAGUUGAAUUCAUUUAUUCCAUCAAAAAUCAUGAUUUAACCAAAACUCCUCUUUGAAACCCUAACCAAAUUCUUCAUUAAAUCAACUAAAUAACUUAAGGAUAGAUGAAAACUAACUCAUCUUUUAUGAUUUCUAGUAAAAACCUUUUGAUUUCAAGUAUUAAUUUCAAGAUAUAUCAACUUUUCUUUGUCUUCUUCUUCUCAUCUUCUUAAGAUUUGGCCUCUUCCUUCUCUUUCCUUUCUUUUUGUUUCUCUUUCCUUUACUUAGGAUAUCUUAAGCUAUUUAAAGAGUAAAAGGUCAUAUGCAAGUCACCUUGACAACAUUUUUCCCUUCACCUACUUUAAGUCUUAUAUAUUCAUGUUUUAACCUCACAUUUGUUAUUUAUAAGUUGUCCUUUGAUUCUAAUUAAGUCCAAAUUACUCAUCAACACUUAAUUAACCUUAAUUAGGUUUUAGUUAAGUGUCUUAGAUGAUUUAAUAUUAAGGUGCUAGUUUAACGAGCUUCCAUGCCAGCUUCUAUUCGUCGCGAGUUAAACACACUUAACAUUCCUCUAAAUUGAUUCUCAUGGCAUAAUUUGACUUUCAAUUUUCUUUACAACUCAUAAUUAAUAGUCCUUUGUUAAUAAAUUUAGGCGGCUUCAAUCAUUUUAGCUAUCUAAACAGAUGAAAACUACUAGAAUAGUUAGAAUGCCUGAAUCUACCAUUGUGAGGAUACUAUAAUGAUUCUGAUAUUAUUACAAGAGUUUUGCAUCACAAAGAAGAAUAUGAAAAAGACUAUAAAAUGAUAAGUGUUAUUUUUAUAGUAUUUUUAAUAAAUUUUUUAUUAGAAUUUUUAGUAUUUUUAAUUACUUUAAUUAGGAUUUAUCGUGGGACGUACCUUAUUAAAGCUAAAGUCCUAUUUAGACGCUGGGAGAGUCCUGAUUGGGAAGAAAUACAAAGCCUAAACAAUUUCCUAUCUCCAAAAGAUUUUUUACUUAAUAAAGAUUCACUUUCCUAAAUGAACACAAAGAUAUUUCAGAAAGUCUAUAUAAAUAGAGAGACUAGCCAUAGUCAGGGGGAAUCCAUUCAUUGUAUAUUCCAUAUCUCAAACUAUUGUUUUCUACAUAGUUCUCCCUCCUUAAGACUUUGUGUCAAGAUUCAAGGAACCCGUCUACGUUAUUUGUUGACUAGUUUUUAUCUCUAAACUCUUAAUCUUGUUUUUACUUUUCAUCAUUCAUAUUGAUUAUAGAAUUAGUUUCAAAUUUAAUUAAGUUUUAUUUAAUUACUAUGUCGAACUAAACUCUCAUACUAGGGAUUUGAUGUAGCUUAAUUUCUUUUUCAAUUUAUAAUAUUAUAUUUGCUUUUCUUUGUUCAAAGCAUAAUUUAUUAUUGAACUUAAUGAUUCCAGACAGAGUUUCUCCCAUAAAUUGAUUUAUUUCAUUAAUCACUAUCGGGAGCAGGGUUUUUGAUAUGAAAAAGGUAAUAAUUACAUGAAAAUAAUAAUUUAAUGCGGAAACUAUAUGGUUUGACUUAUGGGGUUUUUAUAAGUUAACGACCUUAGGUUAUGAAUUCAUAAACAAACCAUAAAAUUUAAUGAUUUAAUUCGUGUUUUGAUUGCGCUAUUGGAAGAUAGGUAAUUAGACUGAGUUAAAAUAGCUAACAAUACAUCGGGAGAACUUAUUAAUAAUUUUGGGGUUGUUGCCUCUGCUUGAACAAUUAAAAUUGAUUAUGAAACUAAUAAAAUAAAUUAGAGAGAAUUAAGUCAAAUCAAAAUCCCUAGUAGUUUUAAUCCUUGAUUUCUUUUUAUCAAAUUUGCCUUGCUUUAAUUCUUUUUAUUCUCUUUUAUUUGUUUAAGUUAAUUUCUUAAAAUAAUUCUCUUUAUUAUUGUUUAAAUAAUAGUAGGUUAACAUAAUUUUGGUACUUGGUAUACAGUUUUCAUGGGAAGAUACUUCACUCAUUCUUUAUUACUUAUUGUGAUUUCGCACACUUGCAAAAAAGUCUGUAAUAAAACUAAAUGCUUCUGUAAGCUUGCAAAGUAACCAGAUGACCACUAGCUUGUCUUUAUAUUUGGAACCUCCUCCACCACAUGUGAUUAAAGUUAAUGUUGAUGCAGCUGCCAUGAAAGUAGAAAAGGUGAUGCGAAUGGGAAAGUCUUUAGUCCGGUAUGCGAAACAGAUUCAUCAAAUUUGCAAUCCAUCAGCUUUGGAGGCCUUAUUUAGAGAAGCAGCUCUCAAAGCAUUCCAUUUUGGUUUCUCAACGUUAUGUUUGAAGGUAAUGCUUUGAAUAUUAUGAAUGCUGUAAAUGGUUUAACAGUUCCGCCCCUCGCAUAUCAAAGUAUAAGCCAUGACAUUUGUUGCUUAGCUGAAAAUUUUGAGAAUGUUUCUUCUGCCUUCGUUAAGAGAUAAUGUAACUGGUGCUGCCCAUGGUCUGGCAAAACAACCCCUAUAUAAUUCUUUUUGUUUGAAUCUGUCUGAGCAAGCUUCUUGGCUCAAAGAUGUAUUAUAAUUUCCUUUGUAAUGGUUUGUUAUCAAUACUAUAUGACCCUGACAUGUGCGAGGGACAUCUUCCAUAGUCUAAGAGGAGGGGCUGUCUCGUUUGGAAAGAAACGCAGUUCACUCUCGUUGCUGCACUAUUGCUAGACGGAAAAGAGAGAGAGAGAGAGAGACAGAGACAGAGAGCGGCGAGGGAGCAGCGGCGGUGGUAGGAGGCGGUGACGUUGGCUGGUGAACCAAAUAGAAAGGGGAGGGAAGAGCUGCUGGGGUCAGCGUUAACGGGAAGGGGAGAAGGGAAAGUUGGGACAAAAUGGGGAUUUUUGAAAUCUCUAGAAGUUUCUCAUCGGUUAAUGGGUGGUUGGGUGGUUUGGGUUGAUUUGAGUUCGUUUUGGCCCAAUUCAUGGGUUUGUUUGAUUUUUCAAUUAAUUUUAUGUGGUUUUCAAAGGGUUUAGUUUAAAUUUAGGUUUGGUCUAACUAUAUACAAUUGUAUUUAUAUUAAAUUUUAUCAAAUAAAUUCAAAAGGUAUUAAUUUUAUUAUUUUAAAAUAUAAUAAUGUCCUAUAAUAUUAUUGGUUAAAAUUUAUAUUUAAAUUUUUAAUUUUGGAUCGUUUCAGUAUGGUAACAAAGGAAUUGAUUGUUAUAUUGUUAGUAUAAAUUACGUGAAUUUGAUUUAUUUACAUAUAAAUAUGGAUUAACAAAAAAUGUGUUUAUUAAAUUUUGAUAAGUAAAUGAAAAGUAUUAAAUAAAUUAAAAUAAUUCAAAACUUAUUAUUAUAGGUUCAAAAAUCAAAAGAUCAAUUAAUCAAUCUAAUUUAAUGACUUAUCCUAUAAUCAAUUACUCGGUGUUAUUAGACUAAAUAAAUAAAAUUUGAAAAAUUAAAAAUUCAUAUAAUUGAUUAAUUCAUAUCAAUAUUCGCUAAUGGAGUAUAAAUAUCCCAAUUAAUAUAAACAAUAAAAUUGGUAAUAGAGUACGUGUCUAUAUCUAGAUACAGCAACCAUUGAAUUAUUCUAAUUAGAUUUUUAAUUAAAUUAAAUUUUAAUUAAAUGACUUAAUUAAACAAAUAAAAUUGGUAUAUUUUUGUUUCAAAUGAAAGUUCAGGACUAAUUAUUUUAAUUAAUUUUUUUAUUCAUUUUAGAUAUUUAUCUAUUCUAACAGAUCCUUAAAAUUUAUACGUAAAUGCUUUUUCUAUUUCAUAUUUUAUGAGUUAAAUAUAAUAUUUAUUCGUUUACCUUUUAUAUGAAGUUUAAUCAAAUUAAAAAUUUGUGCUAAUUUUGUUUAAUUUAUAAAUUUUUACUUGUAUUAACUAAAUUUGAUGUAGACAUAAUCAAUUCGUUGAAUUCGUUGCUCUUUACAAAAAUCACCUGUACAAAAAAAUAAAAAAGAAAAAACACAUAUCUAAUCUUUAUCAUCCUUAUCCUCAUAUGGACUGAAACAAGAUCCUGGACUAGAUUCUUCAUCCUCUUAUCCUUUAUUUGUUGCUCCUCUCUCAACCUUUACAAGAGCAAAGUGAUGCCUAUUUUCAACUCUAAAAGACCAGACUUGAAUUAGAUCCUCCUGAUGGAGUCUAUUCUUUUUCUUAAGAGAAUUCCAAUGAGUUCUAAAUACAGAAGAUGAAGUUGUAUUCCCAUUUUGCUUUGGAUAAUCCCAUUGCUUGAGUAUCAUAUCACUAACAUCAAGGUAAGCCUAAAUAAACUUCACUUUCAUUUUUUUUUUUAAGCUCGUCCCUUUCAACGUCGUUCAAAAACUCACAUAAAAUUUGAUUCUUUGGAAUUUAUAAACGACUAUUACCAUCUCCAUCAUCAGUUUUUGUUAUUCUUUUCUGUAUUAGUAACUUCCAAUCACUACCUUUCAUCUCUAUAAUUUUUUUCUUGAAUCUUUGAGGUAGUUCAGGUUAUGAAUUCUUUAUUGUAACUUUCCUUCUCUUGCUUUUAGUUUUAGUUUCUCCUUCUCCUUCUCCUUCUCCUUCUCCUUCUCCUUCUCCUUUUCCUUCUUUUUUCGUUUGAUGAGCUCCUUCAGAGUUUCUUUGUCUCUUGAAAUCUGUACUGAAACCUUUUUCUUUUCCUGAAAAAUCUACUACCCUCUUUAAAGAUUUUUCUUUAAUCAACCUUUGAAGCUUUUCCUCUUUCUCUAAGUUAAUAGAAGCGAAGUGUGCAACUAACACUAAAGUAUCAAACUUUGGCAUGUCUCUAGCAAUAUCCACAUUGUUAGCCUUCAAAUCUUCAAGAGUUAGAAAUCCAUUUCCUUCAUUAUUAUCAUUAUUCUCCCUUAUUCUUUCUUGUUAUUUAGAAUCUAAUAUUCAAAAAAGAAACCUGUAGCAAGAUUCAAAGAAGAAAAAGAAUUUCAAACCUUUAUGCACGCACCUCUAUAUAAGUGCCAAAACAGGUAAUAGCACUUAUCAUCUUCCUAUUCAAGUGAACCAUAAUGUAAAAUCAAGAGCUCUUAUGGGUGACUGAAUUUCAUGCUUUUAAGGCAACAAACGGUGUCUGCAACCAAAUCUACCUUUCUCUAUCUAAAGUUCUACAUAUACAUACACACACACAUAUAUAUAUAUAUAUAUAUAUAUCACACACACAUAUAAAUAGGGAAAAAUCCUAAAAGAUUAGUAAAUCAUUGUAUUAAAAGGCAAUUAGCAAAUCCUUAUGUUGAUAGGACUAGGAUUAAAUUUUAAUUUUUCCUAAAUCAACUAGGAUUAGGAUUAGGCCCUUCUUUACCGUCUUCUCGCUCAGGCUUCUCUCUCUGCUUCACAAACAUAGUCACGACCUAGUAAGUUCUUACUUAUAUGUAUAUGUAUGUUUAUUGGAUGUAUUGUAUCUAGGGAUUUAAAAAAACUUAAAUUAACAUGGGCUCUCCAAAUUUUAGUUAUUUUCGUUUGUUAAUUCUAAUCAUGUCUGUAUAUUGUUGUGGAAGCUCAUUUUUAGCUUGUUAUACUAGUACAAGUUCAAUGUCAAUAAUAUAUUGCUAUUCAUAUUUAGUGUAUUUUUGCUGCGGAUGAGGGCUUUUGCUUCUGGGUUUUGAGGUACUUUUGGGUUUUAGCUCAUUACUAAAAUGUAAGGCUAUUUUCACCAUCUAGCCAUUAGCCCAUUACUAAGUUUGAAUUGCGUUAGAUCAGGGUUUUGGGUUUCAAAUUUUUUGUUUCCGGCCCCAUUUUAGUGGAGAGCUCCCUUCUGAGCUUUUGGGAGGGAAAGACAAAAAUCCUAAUCCACAGUUACAGGUACUCUUUCUCACUUUCUAUAUUUUUAGUUGCAUAUGCAUUAUCUGUGUCGUACAAUUCAAAUGCGAACCCCUUCCAGAAAUCUCAUCAGAACUCUAUUUGUUUUUCGAGAAAAUUAAAGGAAAAAUAGUUAUCAUUUUCUCUAAGCUACUGAAAUAAAUUUUGGUUGCUUGUACAUUUUCCUUUCCUUUCCUUUUUUUUUUCCUUGCGAAACUGAAGAAAUGGAGUUCCAGUUUUUAAUGUUUCGUAUUGUUUUUGGUGCUUGAUAGUUCAUUCUUGUUCUAUAACUUCAGUUUAAUGAACUUCAAGCGGCAUUUAGUAUAUAUUUGGUUCCAAAUUGUGGUGAAACUAUAUAUAUAGGCUAACCUUAUGUUGUUUGCUGAUAAAGAUCAGUUUCUGUACAAGGUAAAUCAUUAAAUGAACAUUAUAGUACAUAGAACUCCCAAAUCCUCUAGGAGUCAGUCAUUAUUUUACCAAGAUUUGGCAACACCUAUCUCUACUAGUAAAGGGAAAUUCUCAAAUCCAGGUCAGGCAUAGAGAAUUUUGGUGGUUUAGACAGUCGCAAACCCCGAAUUUUAACUUAGGGGGCAAAAGUAUAUACAAUGAGACGUGAAACUAAGAUUAUGAAAAAAUAUCAUAAAAAAAAUAUAAUAUGCUUUAAGGCUUCCUUAAUGAAUCAUUUACAAUUGUUUUAUGAAGAACCCAACUCCAAUAAUAUUUUUACAAAUUGGACUUAUUAUAGUCAAAGGUCAAAUCAUUGAAUUAAAUGAGAUUUUUAAUUUGGUCUUAAAUUCUAAAUAUUACUGAUGAGUAAUCAAAAGUUCAAUCAAUGUAUGAUUAGUCCAAAAAAUAUUAACAAAAUUAAGAAAUUUAAAAAGAUGAGUGACAAGAAAUUCUCUGAUGGGGAUAACCCUAACGAUGAAAGAACUGAUGAUGAUUCUAUAAUGAAGAGGUUUAAACAUCGUGAUAAGGACGAUGGAAACAACAAGGAUGAGGGGUUUGACUUCUCUCCCAACUCUUUCCUGCAGACGUUGUGAGAUAAGAUUGUUCAGGGUAUGGAGGUAGAUGGUGAUGAUGAUCUGCUUGGGAACCCGGAUUAUAUCCUUUCCUCGAAGGAUGUCCAAAUUGAUGGGAUGGGAACAGUGCCAGAGGUUAGAAUUUCUGAGAUACUUCAAUAGAAUCCUGCUUUGAAAUGGUCUAGAGCUGUUGUUGUGCACCUAUGAUGAAGGAGAAUAAGUUACAAGUCCCUUUACUCUAAACUAUAGAUUUUAUGGAGACCUAAAGGACAUCAAGUUUUAGACUUGGGGAAUGAAUAUUUUCUGGUUAAAUUUGAGCUGGAAGAAGACUUUCAUAAAGUAGUGUUAGAUGUCCCCUGGACAAUAGCAGGCAGCUACCUUAUGGUGUAGCCAUGGAGUUCUUCUUUUAAUAGGCACAGUUUCUUGUUAAAGGAGGCUGUGGUUUGGAUUCGUUUACCUGGCCUUCCACUUCACCUCUAUCAUAAGAAAGUUUGACGUGCUAUAGGGGAUGUGGUAUGAAGCAUUUACCGUGGAUUCAACCCACAGCCUAGAAGUCAGAUCAAGCGUGAUAUUAAUUCCUCAGUUGGUGUACUUGACACACUGGCACACCCGCAUUUUCUCCAAACCAAGCUAUUAGCCAGUGGAUUCGUUGCUCUUUUUCCAAAAAAGAACCAACAAUCUUUAGUGGCACGCUCUGUGGGACCACUUUUGUACAUUCCAUCUUUCAUUUGAGUUUUGAGAGAACACCAUGACUUGAAAAACACGUUUAGUUGUUGAAAAAGAAACUAUUGCCGGGUCUCCAGAUUCGGAUGGAGGACCUACGAGAGUGAAACAUCCUUUAAUUUUAUUUUUAAAACUCAAUUAAAUUAAAAAUCUGGAUUUUUGACUGUAUGGGCUGCAAAUACCUUAUAAUUCUAAUCCAAGCCCAAAUUUAUAGAGUUGGGCUCAAGCCCAAAACAUAUUAUCAAAAUUUUCGAGUCGAGAACCUUCAAAAUUUUUCAAGAGUAAAUAUGGAGCUAUAAAUAUUAAUCUAUUAGAAAUAUAUAUAUGUGUGUCUACUAUUUAAAUUAAUUAUUCUAAAAUCAAAUAUCAUCAUCAUUAUUACUAUUAUUAAUAUUAUUUAGUAAACUGAGGAAAUAUUCUAGACUUAAUUAAACCAAUUGAAAAAAUAAUAAAUUAAAAUAAAAUAAAAUAAUAAAUCAAACCAAUAAAUCUUGAAGCUUCUAAUAAUUGAACCAAACCUUUGGAAAUGAACCAAAUCAGAUAAAGCAAAAUCAAGGAGGAGAGAGAAUGUGGCAUCCUACUGUAUCGAGUCGUUGCAUAGAGUCGAGUUGAGUCGGGCUGAACCAAAACCCAGUUCGAGCCAUUAGAGUCCAGAGUGGGGUAGUAUGAGAUUUACUAUAAUAAUGAUAAGAAGUGGACUUACUUGAAUAAAACAAAAAGAUCAAAGUAUAAGGAUCAGGACUUGCUUGCACUAAACUAUUAAGCUGCUUAGGUAUUAAGUUGUAACCUAUUGACAAUUGAGGUAUCAUUUGGUAAUUUUACACAUACAAUCCAUGAUAUUUUGGAGGCUACCCGAGACUUCCAUUUCACUUUCCCUUCUUCAUCUUUAUCUUCAUCUCCUUUACUCAUCUUCUUUUCUCCACCUUCUUCAUCUUUAUCUUCAUCAAUUAUAAUGGUAUUCAAGCAUUAAAUUCAACCUCUAUUCUAUCUAAGUAAGUAGAAUUUCUUGAAUUUCAUAAUUUAGUGAUAUUUUAGAUUAUUCAUAAGAGUUCUUAUGUAUAGGAGAGGUGAACUCGAAGGCAAAAGUAAAAGGAAGCUAAGAAGAAGAGUUAAAGCUCUUUUGGUGGAAGGUUUGAUAUCUCUUUUAGUUUAACACAUUUUCUUGCAUGAGAAUAUGUGUAGUGUGAUGAUAGUGAUAAGAUAUGUUGCUGAAUGUUGAGUAAUAGGUUUGAGAAUGUUGAUUAAGCAUGGGAUGCAUUGAAUAAAUGCAUUGGAUAUUGAAUUCAUGCUGAAACAGGUUUGUUGGAAAACUGACCAGUAAUAGCUCAAUAUUUGACUACUUUACCAAUAUAUUUCAGAGAUGUGGUGGAAGUCAUAUUUGUACCCUAAUGUGUUAGCUAACCAUAGAGUUUGGAAGCACCUAAAUUGGCCUUAUAAAUUGAGAGAUAUGACCAAAAUGGUAUAAACUGUGCAAACUGAAAACCAACAGCUGGGUAGACUGGAAGGUGCUGCUUUAGCUCAAUAUUUGACUACUUUACCAAUAUAUUUCAGAGAAGUGGUACAAGACAUAUUUGUACCCUAAUGCAUUAUCUAACCAUAGAAUUUGGAAUCACCUAAAUUGGCUUUAUAAAUUGAGAGAUAUGACCAAAAUGGUAUAAACUGUGCAAUUGAAAACCAACAGCUGGGCAGACUGGAAAGUGCUGCUUUAGCUCAAUAUUUGACUACUUUACCAAUAUAUUUAAGUGGUAGAAGACAUAUUUGUACCCUAAUGGGUUAUAUAACCAAAGAAUUUGGAAUCACCUAAAUUGGCCUUAUAAAUUGAGAGAUAUGACCAAAAUGGUAUAAACUGUGCAAUUGAAAACCAACAGCUGGGCAGACUAGAAGGUGCUGCUUUAGCUCAAUAUUUGACUACUUUACCAACAUAUUUCAGAGAGGUAUUACACGAAAUAUUUGUACCCUAAUGUGUUAGCUAACCAUAGAAUUUGGAAUCACCUAAAUUGGCCUUAUAAAUUGAGAGAUAUGACCAAAAUGGUAUAAACUGAAAACCAAAAGCUGGGCAAACUGGAAGGUGCUCCUUUAGCUCAAUAUUUGACUACUUUACCAAUAUAUUUAAGAGAAGUGGUAGAAGAUAUAUUUGUACCCUAAUGUGUUAUAUAACCAUAGAAUUUUGAAUCACCUAAAUUGGCCUUAUAAAUUGAGAGAUAUGACCAAAAUGGUAUAAACUGUGCAAACUGAAAACCAACAGCUGGGCAGACUGGAAGGUGAUGCUUUAGCUCAAUAUUUGACUACUUUACCAAUAUAUUUUAGAGAAGUGGUAGAAGACAUAUUUGUACCUAAUGUGUUAUAUAACCAUAGAAUUUGGAAGCACCUAAAUUGGCCUUAUAAAUUGAGAGAUAUGACCAAAAUGGUAUAAACUGUGCAACUGAAAACCAACAGCUGGGCAGACUGGAAGGUGCUUGUUUAGCUCAAUAUUUGACUACUUUACCAACAUAUUUCAGAUAGGUAGUAGAAGAUAUCUUUGUACCCUAAUGUGUUAGCUAACCAUGAAAUUUGGAAUCACCUAAAUUGGCCUUAUAAAUUGAGAGAUAUGACCAAAAUGGUAUAAACUGUACAAACUGAAAACCAACAGCUGGGCAGACUGGAAGGUGCUGCUUUAGCUCAAUAUUUGUCUACUUUACCCACAUAUUUCAGAGAAGUGAUAGAAGAUAUAUUUUUACCCUAAUGUGUUAGCUAACCAUAGAAUUUAGAAAUACCUGAAUUGGACUUAAGCAGAAAGAGUUAUGCUAGAAUUUGUGACACAUGUACAGGCUGNNNNNNNNNNNNNNNNNNNNNNNNNNNNNNNNNNNNNNNNNNNNNNNNNNNNNNNNNNNNNNNNNNNNNNNNNNNNNNNNNNNNNNNNNNNNNNNNNNNNNNNNNNNNNNNNNNNNNNNNNNNNNNNNNNNNNNNNNNNNNNNNNNNNNNNNNNNNNNNNNNNNNNNNNNNNNNNNNNNNNNNNNNNNNNNNNNNNNNNNNNNNNNNNNNNNNNNNNNNNNNNNNNNNNNNNNNNNNNNNNNNNNNNNNNNNNNNNNNNNNNNNNNNNNNNNNNNNNNNNNNNNNNNNNNNNNNNNNNNNNNNNNNNNNNNNNNNNNNNNNNNNNNNNNNNNNNNNNNNNNNNNNNNNNNNNNNNNNNNNNNNNNNNNNNNNNNNNNNNNNNNNNNNNNNNNNNNNNNNNNNNNNNNNNNNNNNNNNNNNNNNNNNNNNNNNNNNNNNNNNNNNNNNNNNNNNNNNNNNNNNNNNNNNNNNNNNNNNNNNNNNNNNNNNNNNNNNNNNNNNNNNNNNNNNNNNNNNNNNNNNNNNNNNNNNNNNNNNNNNNNNNNNNNNNNNNNNNNNNNNNNNNNNNNNNNNNNNNNNNNNNNNNNNNNNNNNNNNNNNNNNNNNNNNNNNNNNNNNNNNNNNNNNNNNNNNNNNNNNNNNNNNNNNNNNNNNNNNNNNNNNNNNNNNNNNNNNNNNNNNNNNNNNNNNNNNNNNNNNNNNNNNNNNNNNNNNNNNNNNNNNNNNNNNNNNNNNNNNNNNNNNNNNNNNNNNNNNNNNNNNNNNNNNNNNNNNNNNNNNNNNNNNNNNNNNNNNNNNNNNNNNNNNNNNNNNNNNNNNNNNNNNNNNNNNNNNNNNNNNNNNNNNNNNNNNNNNNNNNNNNNNNNNNNNNNNNNNNNNNNNNNNNNNNNNNNNNNNNNNNNNNNNNNNNNNNNNNNNNNNNNNNNNNNNNNNNNNNNNNNNNNNNNNNNNNNNNNNNNNNNNNNNNNNNNNNNNNNNNNNNNNNNNNNNNNNNNNNNNNNNNNNNNNNNNNNNNNNNNNNNNNNNNNNNNNNNNNNNNNNNNNNNNNNNNNNNNNNNNNNNNNNNNNNNNNNNNNNNNNNNNNNNNNNNNNNNNNNNNNNNNNNNNNNNNNNNNNNNNNNNNNNNNNNNNNNNNNNNNNNNNNNNNNNNNNNNNNNNNNNNNNNNNNNNNNNNNNNNNNNNNNNNNNNNNNNNNNNNNNNNNNNNNNNNNNNNNNNNNNNNNNNNNNNNNNNNNNNNNNNNNNNNNNNNNNNNNNNNNNNNNNNNNNNNNNNNNNNNNNNNNNNNNNNNNNNNNNNNNNNNNNNNNNNNNNNNNNNNNUUGCAAAUUUUGUUAAAAAAAAAAAAGGAGUCAAGUCGGCGGCGGACCUCUCUAAUCGUUUUUUGGUUUUUAGGUUAGGGCUGGAAAAUUUCAGAUUAGUCCCUGGAAAAUUUCAUAUUAGGUCCUUAAUUUUUGUUUUUUUCAUAUUAGGUCCCUAAUUUUCUGUUUAUUUCGUAUUAGGCUCCUAAUUUUCUGUAACUUCAGAUUAGGCCCCUAAAUUUUUUUAUAACUUCAGAUUAGGCCCCUAACUUUCUAUUUUUUCGUAUUAGGCCCCUAAUUUUCUGUUUUCUUUCGUUUAGACCCCGAACUUUAUUUAUUCAAAUUUAUUUAGUUCAAUUUUAUAACUUAGUCUCUAAUUUAGUGACUUAAAGACUAGAUUAUAAUUUUUUUUGGGCUAAAUAAUUUUAGAUUAUUAAAUAUUUAGACAAUCAAUUCAUUUAAUUGCAAUUGUUUUGUUUUAAUUACAAUUAAAUGAAUUAAUUUGUCGACUUGAGAUUAAAUUUUGGAGUGAUUAAGUCCCUAUUGUGUUUGAUAUUUGUUAAAAUAAAUUGAUUUGAUCAAUAAGUCACCAAAGUGACCUCUAUUGCUUGAAUUGAUUUAUUUUAGAAUAUUAGACAGGUGUAUUAGAAUUCGUUGCGGAUAGUUAAUCGGCCCAAAGGAAGGUUACUAUCUGGCUGAGUUUUGAAUACAUGUUUGGCAAUAAAUAUGUGAUAAUUGUUUGAUUAUUUUCAUGACAAUGAUAUAUCGGCCCAAAGGAAGAUUUAUUAUUUGUCAGGACUAUGUUAUCAAUAUUUGAUUGCUGCAUUGAGAUACUAAUUACAAGUUAAUGUUUUACAUCCAAAGAUGAGAAUAUUAAUGUUGUGUCUGUAUCUUAUUUCCAUUUUUUAAUCUCUACUUAUGUGAAUUGUUUCAUUUGUGGAUUGUGAGCUUAUACUUAUCUAUUUGUUUAUUUUCUCUGAUGUCAGCUAACAUGUCAUUUAAUCCUGAUUGUGUCCCUAAACUUGAGGGAUCAAAUUUUGAGUCUUGGAAAUCAAACAUUAUGAUCUUUCUGGGCUGUAUGGAUUUGGAUCUUGCAUUCAGGAUGGACGAACCUGCUCCUCUUACUGAUACGAGCACUGAUGUUCAAAGGGUUCAGUAUGAGAAGUGGGAGCGUUCUAAUCGCUUAGGUCUGAUGAUCAUGCAGAAAGGAGUCCCAGAACAUGUUCGAGACUCUGUCUCAGCUGAAAAGAACAAUGCUCAAAACUAUCUUGCCGAGCUGGAGAGGGCUUAUGUCAAGAAUGACAAAGCCGAAGUGGGAACACUUUUAGGAAAAUUAACCUCCAUGAAGUUUGCUGGCAAUGGUGGUGUUCGGGAGCAUAUUCUUAGCAUGUCUCAGAUUGCAAAGAGACUGAAGGCGCUGGGUAUGGCUUUACCAGAUGACCUUUUAGUCCAUUUGGUUAUGAAUUCUCUUCCUUCUCAGUAUGGACAAAUUAGGACUUCCUAUAAUUGUCAGCCGAAUAAAUGGACUCUUAACGAGCUCAUUUCUCAUUGUGUUGAUGAGGAGGAAAAGAUGAAUUCUAACAAAAGAGAGAGUGCUCAUUUUGUUUCUUCAGCUGGGAAGGGCAAGAACAAGAAAAGAAAGAGGCCUUUUGCAAAGACUGUUGAAAAGGCUAUUGAGAAACCUGCUGCUGCUACUGCUGUAGAUCCAGUACAAAAGAAGCCUUAUGUGCCAAAAUGCUUCUUUUGUGGAAAGACGGAUCACUUGAGAAAGGACUGUCCUAAAUUUGCUAUUUGGCUUGCAAAGAGGGGUAAGUACCUUGUUUUAGUCUGUUGUGAAGUUAAUUUAACUUCAGCUCCUAAAAACACUUAUUGGAUGGAUUCUGGUGCUACCGCUCAUAUAAGUGUUUCAUUGCAGGGCUGCCUCAACUACAGAAAGCCAACUGACGGUGAAAGAUACGUCUAUGUGGGAAAUGGCGAUCUGGUUGAAGUAGAGGCAAUUGGACAUUUUAGAUUAUGUUUAAGUACUGGCUAUUUUUUGGAUCUUAUAGAUACUUUUGUUAUUCCCUCUUUUAGAAGGAAUUUGAUUUCUGUUUCCUUUUUGGACAAAUCUGGUUUUCAUUGUUCUUUUGGAGACAGUGUAUUCACUUUAUCUAUGAAUUCAAAAGUUUUGGGUACUGGUUGCUUGAAUGAAUGUGAUAAUCUAUAUAUGUUAGACAUUGAUACUAGUUAUCAUGAAUCCCUGCAUGUUACUACAAGAGGUACCAAAAGAAAGUUGAAUAUUGAUAACUCAGCUGUACUUUGGCAUAGACGUUUGGGUCAUGUAUCCAAAUCAAGAAUUGAGCGUCUUGUUUCUGAUGGUAUCUUAGAUACACUUGAUUACACAGGUUUGGAUUCUUGUAUUGAGUGUAUUAAAGGAAAACAGACUAAACAAAAGAGACUAGGUGCCAUUCGGUCAUCCAAUGUUUUAGAACUGAUUCAUACAGAUAUUUGCGGUCCAUUCCAUAUUGCAGCUAGAAAUGGCCAAAGAUAUUUUAUAUCAUUCAUUGAUGACUAUUCUCGUUAUGGUUACUUAUAUCUCAUUCAUGAAAAAUCUGAGUCUUUGGACGUGUUUAAAUCUUAUAAAGCCGAAGUUGAAAAUCAACUAGGAAAGAAGAUUAAAUCUGUUCGAUCUGACCGUGGUGGUGAAUAUUAUGGUAAAUAUGACGGUUCAGGCGAACAACGUCCAGGACCUUUUGCGCUUUUCCUACAGGAAUGUGGAAUUGUCCCUCAAUAUACAAUGCCUGGUACUCCCAGCAUGAAUGGUGUAUCUGAGAGACGUAAUAGGACUCUUAUGGAUAUGGUAAGGAGUAUGAUUAGUCAUUCUACUUUACCAGAGUCUCUGUGGGGUGAAGCGUUAAAGACAGCAGCUUAUCUUCUCAAUAGGAUUCCAUCUAAAGCAGUUGCUAAAACACCUUAUGAACUUUGGACUGGACGUAAGCCUAGUCUAAAGCAUCUUCAUGUUUGGGGAUGUCCAGCUGAAGCAAGGCCUUACAAGCCGAAUGAAACAAAACUGGACUCCAAAACUAUCAGCAGCUACUUUGUUGGAUAUUCUGAGCGGUCUAGGGGUUACAAGUUUUAUAAUCCUACUUCCAGAACUUUUUUUGAAACGAGAAUUGCAACAUUUUUUGAGGAUGUUGAUUUUGGAGGGAGAAAUAAAGAAAGAAACAUUGUCUUUGAAGAGGAACCAAGUAAGGAUGAUUCGGUUCUCAUUCCUUUUGUUGUUUCUGAUAGCGUACAGACUCCAGUUGCUCCUGUCACUAUUCAAGAUCCAAUUCAAGACAAUGCUAUUCUUCCUCAAGAACAAAUUCAACAACCUCAAGAAUUAGAGCCUGUUCAAAUGCCUUUGAGGAGAUCUACUAGGGAGAGAAGAAGUGCUAUUCCAGAUGAUUAUAUAGUGUUUCUUCAGGAACAUGAGGAUACUGUAGACAUGAUAGAUGAUGAUCCAGUUAGUUUCUAUCAUGCCAUGCAGAGUUCUGACUCUCAUAAGUGGAUUGAGGCAAUGAACGAAGAGUAUAAGUCUAUGCAAGACAAUCAAGUUUGGGAUCUUGUUCAAUUACCUGAAGGAAAGAAACCCAUUGGUUGCAAAUGGAUAUUUAAAACCAAAAGGGAUUCUCAAGGUAAUGUGGAAAGAUAUAAAGCACGUCUUGUAGCAAAAGGCUUUACUCAAAAGGAAGGGAUUGACUAUAAAGAAACCUUCUCUCCAGUUUCUUCGAAGGAUUCUUUUAGGACAAUCAUGGCCUUAGUUGCAAAUCUUGAUCUUGAGCUUCAUCAAAUGGAUGUUAAGACUGCGUUUCUCAAUGGCGACAUUGAUGAAACAAUAUAUAUGGUGCAACCAGAAAGUUUUAUAAUUGGAGAUCCAAAACAUCUGGUAUGCAAAUUAAAGAAAUCCAUUUAUGGACUCAAGCAAGCUUCUCGUCAAUGGUACUUUAAGUUCAACCAAGUAAUUGUCUCGUUUGGCUUUGAGGCAAAUGCUGUUGAAAAUUGUGUGUACCAUAAGUUCAGUGGGAGUAGGUUUAUCUUUUUGGUCUUAUAUGUGGAUGACAUACUUCUUGCUACUAAUUGUAAAGUCUUGCUGCAUGAAACCAAAGUUUUUCUUUCAAAGCAUUUUGAGAUGAAAGAUUUAGGUGAAGCUUCUUUUGUUUUAGGGAUUCAGAUACAUCGAGACCGUUCUCGAGGUAUUCUUGGAUUAUCACAAAAGAGCUAUAUUGAUAAAGUGCUCAAGAGAUUUAGUAUGCAGAAUUCUAGACCAUUGGAUACCCCUAUUGCAAAAGGUGAUAAAUUUAGUAAUCAACAAUGUCCAAAGAGUGAACUUGAAAUUCAGGAAAUGCAAAAGGUUCCUUAUGCGUCAGCUGUAGGAAGUCUUAUGUAUGUUCAAGUUUGUACUCGUCCAGACAUUUCUUUUAUAGUUGGCAUGUUAGGUAGAUAUCUCAGCAAUCCAGGAAUGGAUCAUUGGAAAGCAGCCAAAAGAGUCAUGAGAUAUCUUCAGAGGACUAAGGGACAUAUGCUCACAUAUAGGAGAUCAGAUCAGCUUGAGAUCAUUGGGUAUACUGAUUCUGAUUUCGCUGGAUGCCAAGAUAGUAGAAAAUCCACAUCUGGCUACGUUUUUCUAUUGGCUGGCGGUGCUAUUUCUUGGAAGAGUGUGAAACAAACUCUAGUGGCAACCUCCACCAUGGAAGCUGAAUUUGUAGCAUCUUAUGAGGCAUCCAAUCAAGCUAUUUGGCUGAGAAACCUUGUCACUGGGCUGCGUGUAGUAGGUGGAAUAGAAAGACCACUGAAGUUGUAUUGUGACAGCAGGUCAGCCGUUUUAUUCUCCAACAACAACAGGAGCUCUUCUCGAUCAAAACACAUUGAGAUUAAGUUCUUGGCUGUGAAGGAGAGGGUACAGAGUGGACAGAUAUCCUUAGAGCAUAUUGGAACAAACUCUAUGAUUGCGGAUCCGCUUACAAAGGCAGUGAUACCGAAAGUUUUCCAUGAGCACACCGCUCAUAUGGGUAUCGUUUUGUUUGAGACUGUCUAGUUUUAGUGGGAGUUUGCUCUUUAUGUAUACAUUAUGUUUUUGAAUGCUCUAUUUUGUUUUGCAAAAAAACAACAGCAUGAUAUAUUAUUCAGCAUACAUAAGGAUAUCAGCCUGAAAGGACAUAUGUUCAAGCAGCUUGUAGCGUCUCGGUUCGGUUUAUUCGGGUUUACGGGUGAACCGGGAAGGGAUGUUAUAGAGAAAGACAAAAAAAAAAAAAAAAAAUUUCCAUUCUUCCAUUGCUGACAGCCCCUUACCCCCUUUCUCUCACCGUCUUCUGGCCAGCGGCCAUGGAUUUCGGCAACCAAAUACUCUAAAAUCUUCUACUCAUUGCAAAGAAUUUGAUUCAAGCCUUGGUUUGUGCAAUUUGGACUUGGAGCGAAAAAGGAAACGAUGUUGAAACAUUCGACAUCAUGCUAUUCUAUUCUCCAGUGAGUUCUCGCCAUUUCUGGCCACCAUACACACUGAGAAUGGGUCCAAUUAGUUCCUCAUUGCCUCGCAAGUAUUUCCCCUCUAUUAAUCAAGGUUUCCUGUGGAGAAUGAUGAAGCUACCAUGAUUGGUGGCUCCUUUGGCGGCUGUUGAGGUGUGUUCCGGCCAAACGAGUCAUUGAAUCAACCAACGGACAUUAGGUUCGUUUUCCCUAUAGAAAUUUGGGGUUAGGGGACGUGAAAGCCGCCCAGUUCUGAUGAACCUCGAUUUUUCGAUCACUAUGUAUAGUGGCCGGCGGCGGCAGUCCGAUGACCGGCCGACGAGGCUCCAGUGAGACCUUGAGAUGCAAAAUUUCCUCCUCCUCAUGACGAUCGCAAUUCUGCAAUUCAAAUUUAACUUUGGUGAGCUCUAGGUUUCAAUAUUAUAUUUUCUUGCUAUAUUCAUUUAGAACCCAUUGGCAUGACUUGGUUAAAGAGUGUUUAAUUACAUAAUCAUUGUAACACCCGCCGCCCAGUCCUGUGAGAUCCGACGACGGAAGCCACAUUCGAUGCCGGAGACACCGUCUUAACUUAACAUACAAAUCAUAAAAUUAGAUUAUGAAUUAGAAGUAAUUGAGUAUUCACAAGUUUAGCGAGUAAUAUGUUUUUUUUAUUUAUUAGAUAAUCAUUUCAUUUCGUUUCCAUCUCUUGUUUUUUUUUCUUUUUUGAAAAAUAGAUUGGGAAAAAUCCUACANNNNNNNNNNNNNNNNNNNNNNNNNNNNNNNNNNNNNNNNNNNNNNNNNNNNNNNNNAUAAAUUGGGAAAAAUCCUACAGAAAUACUGUAAGAAUUUCCCUUUAAAAACUGAGCUCACAAAACAUAUGAAUACAAAACACUCCCAAUUAAACUCCAAACUUCCAACAUCUCCAAAUAAUCAUCAUAACACAACAACACUUCUAUAUUUCAUAACUAUAUAAAUCCUCCAUAGCAUUUUAAUAUUCAUCAAUAUACUUAGGUGCCAUCACAAUAUUCGAAACACAUUCUCGUUUCAAGGAAUAUAUAUAAUCAUUCUACACCAAAAAUACAAUAAGAUGUUAUUUCCUGAACUAAUAAUAACUCUUAAUAAAUUAUACACUUAGUAUAUACAACCUCCUUAACACAAUAUUUUAUAUACAUGCCAAAAAUCACCAUGUACAAAAUAUCCUACCCAAAAUGGUAUAUCUACUCUGAUGCUACUCCUCGAGUCUUGACAAAUAUCCUUUGCUUCUAACCUACGCGUGAUAAAAAUCAACACGCUGAGUAGAAGACUUAGUGGUACUAAAUAACCAACAAUUAAAAUAACAAGAAUAGCCAAGGCAAGUCUCGCAAGUGCUUUAAAUUACUUAAUUAUAUAAAUACUGAAAUCACCUUAAUUUAAUUCAAACACUUUGAAAGCAAUAAGAAGAUUAUAAAUAUAAAUAUAUCUUCACUCUUUUAUAGCAAAAAUAACAUUUCAUUCUUAGUUAAGGCUCGUACUAAUACAGAAUGAAUAUAAGCAGAUUUGAUCUAGGCCUAGGUUAGCGCCACCCCCAUCACACAAUCGUGGCCUAUGAAAGCGCCACCCCCAUCACACAAAUAAGCGCAUCCGCCUAUUUAUAAAGGCUGAUAACCCUAGCAUAUGAUCAUAGCUUCAUGAAAAUUUGAUCGUGGCCUAUGUUAGUGCCACCCCCAUCACACAAUCGUGGCCUAUGAAAGCGCCAUCCCCAUCACAUAAAUAAGCGCGUCCGCCUAUUUAUAAGGGCUGAUAACCCUAGCAUAUGAUCAUAGCUUCAUAUAACCAAAUCAAUCUCAUCAUACCACAUUUCAAUCAUGCAUAGUAGAGCCCAAAUCAAAAUCAUUCUUAAUUCAUAAUACUUCUCAUAAAACUUGUCUUAUUCUUUAGUCUUCUUAAAUUCAUAAGGUAAGCUUACUUUAGAACAUAAGUAACUCAUGAAAAUUUCUUACUUAAACAUCAUUACUUAACAUAGAAAAUUUCUUAUCAUAUGAAAUCAUACAUGUAAGCUUACUUUUGAACUUAAGUGACUCAUGAAAACUUCAUACUUCAACAUAAUUAUUUAAUAUAGGAAAUUUCUCAUAAAUUCCUUUUCUUUUAAAACUUUAUUAAAGUUAUAAUGAAAUUUAUCAUAAGAAACUUCUUAUCAUAUAAAAUCAUACUUUCCUUAUUCAAAAUUCAAAGCACAUACACCUUAAAUACCCAUUUUUUUAAAACUCUAAACAUAUGAAAAUUAUCAAAAUAAUCAUACUUAUGUCAUAUAUAUAUAGAUAGCAUACCAUACAAAAAAAAUAAUUAAGUACGCCUUACCACCCUAGAGUGGUUUGGCCUCUUAAUGAAAACCAAGGGGAGGAAAUUUCCUUCUCCAACCAAGCAUACUAACAUAACUCUUAUGCACCAAGGUAUCCAUUUCUAUCCUCAUCAUGCAUUAUCUAAACUAAUUCUACACUUUAUCCCAAAAUUUCCAACAAUUUUGCCCAUUUAUAUCCAUUUAAAUAUAUCUACAAUAACACUUUUCAAACUUAUAUCUUAUUUUGGACAAAUCAAUCCUCAAACAUACAAAUAAUCAAGAGAAUCUCAUCACACAUGAUUCAUACAUCUAUUUAUCCAAAUAAACCUAUGAUUCAUGGCAUAGGAAAUUUCCAGCAUUAAAAUAACCUUGACCUUUGCUGGGUUUUUAAGACAUACCUUGAGUUAUAGAUCUCCAAAUUGAAUGAAAUUAGAUUCAUUAGAAAGAUAAGACAAAAUACUACAAAUAUUAUGAAGGAAUCAUAGCCUAGAUCAAUCUGUAAGGUAGCAAACAAAAGCUAGGAACACAUACCAGCAGACCAGACCUGAUUCAGCAGAACCAAGUCAAAUGUUUAUUGAAUUCCUACUUAACCAAACACCCAAAUUAAACCAAUAUAGAACCAGGGAAGUAUCAAGACACAGGGAAACAACUUUCAUGAAGAACUCAGAACCUAAUCUUGUCAUUAUAGUGGUCAAAAUGGUCACUCAAUUCAGUGAUGCAUAUGGCCCGACAUAACAGAGUCAGUUUGGGUGUUUCAAUCAUAAGUUGAGCUAUAUAUCUCNNNNNNNNNNNNNNNNNNNNNNNNNNNNNNNNNNNNNNNNNNNNNNNNNNNNNNNNNNNNNNNNNNNNNNNNNNNNNNNNNNNNNNNNNNNNNNNNNNNNNNNNNNNNNNNNNNNNNNNNNNNNNNNNNNNNNNNNNNNNNNNNNNNNNNNNNNNNNNNNNNNNNNNNNNNNNNNNNNNNNNNNNNNNNNNNNNNNNNNNNNNNNNNNNNNNNNNNNNNNNNNNNNNNNNNNNNNNNNNNNNNNNNAACAAAUCAAUCAUUUCAUACAAAAUCCCAAAAUAUACACAUGCUAGCAUAAAGGCACAAAAUCAAAUAUUUGAGUAAGGUAAGUGUGUUUAUGAAUACUGACCUUAAAAACAAGCUUGGAUUAAAGUCUCUCAAGCCUUAGCUUUGCCUUACGCCUUGGUAGAAGGUUUCCCCAACCUUUGGCUCAAGUAGAGAAUCUCCAAAUUUCUUGAAAUUAGUCACCAAAAACCACUUCUCAACCUUGAUUCUCUAGGAUUACUUACUUAAAUCAAGUUUAAUGGUGUAAAUUUGGUGGAUUUAGUGAGUAGAAGUGAAGAAAAAACAAAGAAGAGAAGAAGAGAGAAAGUUGGCAUUGGAAAUGGAGUAGGAGAAGAAGAAGAAAAGAAACAGUGUUGCUCAAUAAUUGAGAAGUUGACUUAUAAAGCAACUAAAGGGUAGUUUAGUCUUUUCCCCCAAUUGGAUGGCUAAGAUUAAGUCAAAAGUAAUCUCAUCUAAUGGCUACAAAUAAUCUCCAAUUAAAUUCCUUCAAAAUAUUAUUUAUCUCCAUAAAAUUCUCAAAUUUAAUCCUUAAAAAUAAUUCCUCAAAUUUCCUUACUUAAUAUAACACCAUAAUUCACUAUUCACUAAUUAUCUAAAUUCUCCAAAAAUAUUCAUUACUUAUUUUCUACCCAUAAAAAUCAUGUAUGCAUACUCCAAAAAUAUUAAAUAAACUUUGACACAUAGAUAGUAAUUUUUCCGGACCAAAAUAAUACCGACUCCCGGACCAAUAGUACUAUUCACAAACUGGUAAAUCACUAUUCAUUCAUAGUUAAAUAUACUCAAUAUCUUUCUCGGAUCUAAAUAAAAUAUUAUCCCCCUCUCUUUAGCACCAUUCAUGUCCCGAUAAAAUAAUAUCAUUUUAAGAUUCAAAAAUUUUGGGGCGUUAUAAUCAUAUUUAAUGAGCAUAGUUAGUGGUAGUUGAGUUUAAUUUAGACAAUUACUGAACUUAAACUGAGAUAUGUAUAAUUAUAAGAAACUUAAUCAAGUUAAUUGGGCACUAAACAAUCAUGUAAUGUGAAUCCUAAAAAUGAAUGUAAAACAUUUAAUUUUGUAUUCCAUAUUCUUAAAUUGGCAUUGAACAAUAAAUGAGGACCUUAUGUUGUGACAAGUAAUAUUAUGCAAUAUUAUAUUCAUCAUUUAUAAGUGUGACUAUAAAACAAUUUUAGGACUUACAUUACAUACCUUAAAACUAUAUAGAAGUCAACAAACUUGUUAGUAUAAGAGCCUAAGUGUAAUGAUACAAUGGAACAACUAAUGGCAUAUUUCAAAACUGUGGUAUGGUGAUAAAGCGGCUGCUAGUAAAGUGACUAGGCACGCAGAGUAUUAAAGUGAGUUGGGUAGAGGCGAUAAUGAUGCUUUUGUGGUAAAUGCAAUGUAUUUAUGUAUUUAUGUAAUUAAGUUGACAGAUGAUGAGAAAUGUAUAUAUGUGUGGGCAUUAUAAUUGUAUUUAGAAAAUGAAAUGUAUGAACUGAAUUGAUAAUGAGUUAAUGACGGAGGAUAGGUUUAUGAAUGAGAUUGAAUUUCCCGAUGGAUGGGCUGUGUAAGUUGAAUGUUUCAUAUUGUUUGAAACAGGUAGACAGCUCUAUUUUAGGGGAGAUGCUGCUGAAUUUUUAGUAGAGUAAUUAGAAUAAAAACCAAAUAAAUCUAACAAGUUAUAAUGGUUAAAAUAAGUUAAGUAAUAGAAGUAGUUCGAACAAAUCAUGCUAAUUAGGGUAAUUUAGAAACUUAACAUUAAAGGUUCAAUGUGUAGGGAUUAUUACUUCAAGUUUCCUUUUAUAUAUAAUUCUCUGUAGGGGAUAGGGGGAAAAACAUUUCAAUAACCGAUAGUAGAUAAAAGCUUAAAUUAGGAAUUCAUGGAAACUAUUACAGGUGAGUAGUGUUAGACAAUUCGCAUCAUCCACCUGCAUUGCAUCCAUGCAUACACGGCUAAAUGCUAGACAUGCAUUACUUAUUAAAUUGUUACAUUGUGUUGCAUUAUUUGUUGCUAUUGGAAAUGGUUUGAUUAGUUGUGAUGUGCUUCAUAUAUGCUUUGUUUAUGUGGAAUUGGAAUGAAGUGGGGCACCACGGGUUUGUGAGGGCGGUCUUCGAUACCAUUGGCCAUGUAUGGGGAGAUCAAUGCCCCCGUGUGCAUCCGAUGAUAUAUGAUAUGGAAAACCAAAGGGUGGCCUCCUAUUGGUAUGGAAAAGAAAAGAAGGUGUAAAAAGAUGAGAGGGCUAGUCAAGUGAGGAUUAAACCAGUCGGCCAUAUAUGAGGGAUCGGCUUCAUGGUGCACGCGUUUGAGAGGGCGGGCCAUGUGGGAGGACAGCUCAUUUGGGGUUUCGGUGAUGCCACUGAGCAAUUUCCACGUGAUGUGAUUAUGUGAAGGUAUUAAUAUUUGGAAUUGUUGUUGUUAUGUCAUUUGUGUGAUCGACUGUAUGAUCAUAUAACUAGUCAAAUGACUAAAUUGAUUUAUUUAUGCAUUUGUGUGAUUGUGUGGGGUGAGAGGGUUAACUAAUCUACUCACUGAGUUUAGGCUCUCAUCCCUGCCUUAAUGGUUUUUUUAGGUUAUAAGUCAUCUAGUAUCUCGUGAUUCUUUGCCACUUGACAUUUAGAGGAAAUGUUGAAAAUGAAACCUUAAUUAGUUUUGUAUAGGGUAUUGAAGUAAAAUUUUAAAAUUCUUAUGUUCCGCAAUUACGAUAGUCAUGGGUAAUAAAAUUUAGAAAUUAUUGAUGUAUUACUUAUUAAAUUUUCUAUCAUGUAAUAUAUUGAUACGAGCCUAAAGAACUGUUAUUUAAAUUAAUUUUUGAUAUUUGGAUGUUGAUGAAAUUGGGCCUAAGGCCAUUUUUAUUGAACAGGAAGUUCGUCUGGUAUAUUUUUGGCUUAUUAUGGGCUUCGGUGGCUUUAAGCCUACCCAGGUCCUAGUGCCGAUCCAGCCCACGAUUUUGGGUCGUGAUAGAGAGUAGACCUUGGAAGCACUGAAAGAGGAACAUCUCCUCAUAAGGAAGGAGAAAUCAACUCUCCUGAUCAAAAUCCCCUAGAAGUUGCACUUACCUCUAAGGACUUUAAUAAAUGUCCAGGUAAAAUGACUUCUAUUUCUAAUGAUGUUAUCAUUAACUUUAAUUCUUCUGAUAUGAAGGUGAUGCUGGAAGAGCAGAGGAACAAUAGUGAGAUGAUAGCUAAAUUGUUGCAAACCAUGAAUAUCUUCAGGGAGAAGGUCACUGGAAGGAAGAUUGAUGUUGUGGACUCACCUGUCAAUCAAUCUCCUACUAGAAAGUCUUCUGCUAAGGAGGAGAAUGAAUCUUCAUCCAAGUACACCAAAGAACUCAAGGGGCAACCGCCUCGAAGUCCCUCGAGGAGCAUUGACAGUGGUCAUGCUCUUGCUGAAGAGAGGUAUCAACCACCACAUCGAAGAGAGGAGUCGGUGCACUACCCAUCGAAGGCAACACUCUAGACAAGCCACCCCACGAGCAGGCCUACAGUGACUCCUAUCAUUAUUUUCGGGACCACUAGUCCUAUGACUAACCCAGGUGUCUAUGAGACUGAGGCUUCUUAUGCUCCUUAAUCGUUGACAGGCACAGGAGGAAGCAAAGGAACUAGAGGGGUUGCCUUCGAUGCAGCUCCCCAGAAUACAUACACUGGUGUCACUACAAUUCCUCAAACGGCAGGUAAUCAUGUUCCUCAGAUUCCCCAAGUCACCAUGGAUGUUCUGAGGGACGUUGUGCAAGAGGUGUAUGGGCCUAGCCUCAGACAAGUUGGUUGCCUAGAGUUUGUGAAGCUGUAUUUUGAAAUAAUCAAUAAAGAGAACCCUUAUCCCAUAGGGUACAGAAUUUCAGACUUUACAUUAUUCUCUGGAGAAGAUGGACAAUCAACCAUGGAGCAUAUAGCAAGAUUCACCAUCCAAUGUAGGGAACUUGCCAAUUAAGAGAAUUUUGCUAACUAUAAGUUGUGGUCGUUUCCUAAUUCCUCGAUAGGUACACCUUUCACUGUGUAUUCAACACUGCUGAGGAACUCAGUCAAUUCAUAGUAUGAGAUGCAGCAUCUCUUCCAUACUCAGUUCUGUAGAGUUGAGCCAGAGGUUUGUGUGGCUGAGUUAUCCAGGCCAACACAAAGAAGUGGAGAGAUGGCUGACUCAUUUAUUACAGGUUUAAGAAGUUGAGGAAUAGGUGUAAGGUGUUCUUACUUGAACAUGAGUUUGUCAAGAUGGCUCAAAGAGGCUUGGACUUCAAGUUGAGGAAGAAAUUCCAAGGGAUGGAGUUUAGAUAUUUCUAUGAGUUGGCGGAUAAGGUGGCAGAAUAGGAAGAGCUAUUGAAAGAAGAAUCACAAAGAAAGAGAAGCUUAAAAGGAACUUAUUAGCAUGAGCAUCAUUAGGAAACGGUUGUGGCUAACUUGGUGAACUCAGGUUCCUGUGUGUGUUCGAACCUAGGAGCCCCAGUAAAGACAACAUCUCAGAAGAACUCCGGUUAAGAGACUCAAUUUACCUUUAAUGCACCUAAGAUUUAGGAGAUCUUCGAUUUCUUACUAAAGGAAAAGUUUGUGUCUUUCCCACCUAGUCAGAAGAUGCCGACGAAAGGAAAGCAAUACUGUAAGUACGAUGAUUCCUAGAACCACAAUACUAGUAACUGGUGGAGUUUUAGGAAUGCUUUACAGGAUCGAAUUAACAGAGGAGUCUUGGGGUUCCUUAAUAAAGAACAAAUGCUAAUUGAUGAGGAUCCUUUGCCACCCAUCGCAUCCAUCAAUGUUGUGGAAGUGGAUUUGAGGAUUAUCAUUGACCAGUUGAAGAAGCUGCAGGUUCAUUAGAAGAUAUCAAAUACACAUAAGAAGCUACAGCAACAUUGGUAGCUAAAGUUUCCAAGGGAAGCUGGUCCAUCUGUUAACUGCUUUCCUGUGAAGACAAAAAUGAUUAGAUCUGAACCAAGUUCCAAAGGAACCAAUCAAGAUUUGUUGUUCUUACAUCUAUUGAACCAACCAAGAAGUGGAUGGUGGUACCACGUUCGAAGUUCCCUCAACCUCUGACUCGAACUUAGAAGAGGAGGUUGCAGAGGAAAAGAGUCUUGGAGAAGUGACAGAAGGCAGCCUUAGCCAGUUCCAACUGUGAAAAUGAGAAAACUAUGUUCGGGUGUAAAACCAUAGAAGAUGACAUAGAAUCCCAAGGAAGUUCUGCAGAGAAAGAGAUUUCAAAAGGUAACUUUUCAUUUAAAGGUGUACCUUUGCCUUUUAGUUGUGUAGUUACAAGAAUUGUCUUACCACUGGAGUUCUAGAAGUUCCCUAGGAAAACAUAUGUACCUCAGGAGGAACCAGUUUCUGAUGAACUAGAGAUAUGCAAUGUAGUGACUAUUCAGUGUUCCAAGCCUAAAGAACCAAAAAGAGUAGUGCUUGAGAAGCUUGCAGAAAGCAUGACUCAACAUAUCAUGCCAUUUUAUAUAAUUGCACACAUUGAUGGAAAACCCAUUUCAAGGGUUCUUGUAGACAAUGGAUCGGUGUUGUAUAUAAUGCCAUUCAAAACACUCUUAGCUAUUAGGAGGACAGAGUAUCUUAUAGCUACCAACAUUACAAUGUUGGAUUUUAUUGGUGAUGUGUCAAAAACCAUGGGGGUACUACCACUAGAGAUUACAAUUGGUAGUAAAACAUCUUUCUCAGCCUUCUUUGUUGUUAGAUCCACUACUGGUUAUAAUCUAUUACUGGGAAGGGACUGGAUUCUUGCCAAUUGGUGUGUGUCGUCCUCCUUGCAUCAGUUUCUAAUAUUUUGGAAAGUUUAUGAUAUGGAAGUUGCAUGGGCAAAUCCUAAACCUUUUCAAGUAACUCCAGUGCCCUAGAAGCACAAUUGAAUGAUGUGGAUUUUAGUCCUAUCCAUUAUAUUAGAAGGGGGUGGACUCGAAGGGAGGCAGUGGAAGUUGAAGAUAAUUUUUCUCCUGGGGAUGUUGGCGCCUUGCAUCAGACUGAGUUUAUAGUUGCUGAAGCUUCAGAGGAUACUAGCUCAUCUCCUGAUAGCUCAUCAGAUGUUGCUGAGGUUAAUUCAACACCGUCAUUAUCCAUUGCGCCUUGUAAGAGGCCAAGGUGGGAUCCAAGGUGAUAGAGCUUCAUGAUUAAGAAAACAUUCUUUAAUGAGGAGAUGGCAACAGCUGCAGCUGCUAUAUCCAGAGCUUAUUUGUGGUAACUGUUUGACAGGUUAGCUAAAGAGGAGUACUUGGAGGUUGAUGGUUCUGAAGUGAUCUUUGGGGAAGAAUUGAGAUUUUUUAAGCUGGACGAUGUUCUUACUGAAGUCCAAGAUCUUUUGAAGGAAGUCAACCUCAGUACCCCUGGGAAUUCAAGAAUUCCAUAUGUUAGCAGCCUCUUAAAACCUGAGCAAAAAUAGAAGAUCAUACAUUUUUAUGGUCAUAAGGGCCUAGAGGAAAUGCUUAUAUCUAUCAAGUAGUACAGGAGAGCCGCACAAGAGAAAUGCCAGUAGUCGUUACCUCAAGGAGUACUAUCCCAUCAGGUGGAAAAUGAAGAAUCAUCAGCAAUGACAGUGGGGUUGAUCCCACGGUCCCAUUAAGAAAUGUCAACAAUUAUAGGCACGUUAUAUAGUUGAUCCCACGACAAUCAUGAAUAAAGUAAAUAGGUCUACUGGCGGUUUCUUUCAUAAAUGUGUAAAGGCCGAUUCAUGGCUUUAAAUAUAUUCAUACAAGCUCAAAAAAAAGAAGUAAAUUUGAGGUAAUGGAUCCUCAAUCUUAGUAAUAAUAAACAAAUAAAAUUAAAAGAGGAGCCAUCUACAGGUGCGACACAGGGUAGGUGCAAUAGAGAGCAUACUUGUGGAGAAGAGAUAACUGGAACAUCUGAAUCUUAAACAGAGAGAAGACAUAUGAGCCAGGGGAGUCGUCUCAAUUCAAAAAAUAUAUCUAGAAACAACUGAUAGAGAGGAUAAUGAACCAGUUGCUAAUGUCCUUAGAGAGAACCUGACAGAAAGAAAUGAUGCAAAGUUUAGUAGAGGAACUUACUUGAGGAGCUAGUGCAUUAGCAAGGGCGCCCCGAAGGAGUUAGCAAAUGAAGCAGUGGAACCUAUUAGCAGAAAGUUAAAGGUACAUGAUUCGUAAGACAAUUUAUAUUCAUCUCAGAGGAACUAGUUUUUCCAUUAGUCAAAGUAGAAAUAUAUUUUCACUAGUGCCAUAAUCUGGAAAAAUGGUUGCCAAUGGAAUUGGUAUCAAAAAUUUGGUGCCUCUGGAAUAAUUUUUUAUCGGUUCCAUUGCUAUAAUUCUUCAAAAAUUUAUCAAAGACAAAAUACGGGAGCCAAACCAUAAUUCACAUUUCACAAAUUCACUACAACUUAAAAAAGACCCACUUUUCUAUUAGUUAUUAUAUAUAUUAUAAACAAAAAGAAAAGAGAAAGGAUAGUGCACUACGCAGUGCAAUGGUGGCCAAAGAUGGGCAUCAAAUGAUCAUGUUAUUAUUUAAAAAAGAAAAAAAAGAGAGAAGAAGAAAGAAGAAGAACGAACCUAUAUACAACGGCCAAAAUUGGCCAAAACAAGAUUGCUUGAUUCUCGAAAUUGAAAAGUCACUUAUUAAAAGGGAUAAAAGUUUUUGCCAGAAGAAGUUAACGAAUAAGUUUUUUUUAGAAAACAAUAGCAUUUAACAAUAGAUUAUUUUACUUUUUUUAAUAAAUAUAUGUUUAAUUAAUAAUUUGUUUUUUUAUUUGUUAUAAUUUUAUUAUGGUAAAUGAAGAGUUUAAACGCUAUCAGGGUAAAUGAAAAGUUUUGAAAAAGUUCAAAUAAAUUUUUUUUAAUGAGUGCUUUAAUAAUUAGUCAUUAUUUGUUUUUGUUACUGUUUUAUAUUAUUAGAAGAUGAGCGGUGUAAUAUUUUUUUAUUAUUAUCUUGUAACAAAUAAAUUUUAGACAAAAUUUUAGGAUAAUAAAUUACCUAAUAAUUUGUGUCAUCAUCUAGGGUUUUAAUUUUAGGCUUAAAUUUUUGUGUCCCUUUUUUUAUAUUCAUUUAGCUAAUUUUUUGUUCUUCAGUUUUUUAAUAGUAAAUGCCAAUUUUUUUUUUUUGUAUUUUUGUUUAAAAAGUUUCCUUUUUUUAAUUUACCUUUUAUGAAACUAAUUUACUUUUAAUGCAACAUAAAACUUAGUUACUACCAAAUAAUUGUACUUCUUAAUAUUCAAUGCAAUAAAAGCCACACAAGAUAUAUAUAUAUAUAUAUAUAUAUAUAUAUAUAUACUUAAUUUUUUCAUUGAAAUCUCUUCAUUUUCUUUUUGAGAUCUCUUAGAAAUCCGAAAUCUCUCACAAUUAAGAUAAAAGAAAAUACUCAAUUAUUUUGUAAAUUCUCUCUCCUCAAAUGAAGCACCAUGUCAAUAGAUAGGAUANNNNNNNNNNNNNNNNNNNNNNNNNNNNNNNNNNNNNNUAUAUAUAUAUAUAUAUAUAUAAUGAUUUGUUUUGUUUCAGUUAUCUGUAAUCUCUCUCUAUUUGGUGACUUCAACUCGAUGUUUACUUUUCUUAAACUUUCUACUAGUUUUAUGCAAGUGAAAUGGCUAAAUCUUGUCAUGCUUCUCACAUUGCUCUUGUAAUGCUCUUUGUGAAGAUUAUAUGGGGAAAAUGUGUAAAUAGUUAGGUAUUUAUGGACACCGUGUACAAUCUAUAUAGAGAAAAUGACUUCUUAGAAGUCUAACUGGAGUGCUGCUCCAAAGUUAUUCAUAGCAUAGCAAAUAAUCUUUCACAUUGGAAAAAGCUUUCGAUUUUAUUUUGUCCUAAAAUUCAUUGCCUUCUUAAUGUGGUCUCUUUUUGAUAUUCUGAAUCUUUCACUUGACCCAUUUCUCUCUUGUUUCCUCCAUCACCUCCGCAGUUCUCGUUGCCACCACCACCACCAAUUAAAGCCAACAUCGCCCAAAUGAAAGGGAAAAGAGGGUUUACUCUUCAAAUCGAAAAAAAAAAAAGUCAAAUUUUUGGUUCUUAAUUACAUUAUAGAACAAGCAAAUGAUAUUCGAAGAAGAAAUCAAGAUCGGUUAUUGUAUACAAAUUCAGGAGGUCGGUAUUUGGAUUCAAGAGGACAUCCAUGGAAUCUGUUCCUUUUCAGCAUCCAAUUACUUUCGCUGCAAACCACAUGAAUACACGCCAUCCAGAAAUCUCAUCAGAACUCGACUUGUUUUCUGAGAAAAUUAAAGGAAAAAUAGUUAUCAUUUUCUCUAAGCUACUGAAACAAAUUUUGGUUGCUUGUACGUUUUCCUUUCCUUUCUUUUUUUUUUUCUUGCUAAACUGAAGAAUUAGAGUUCUAGUUUUUAACGUUUUGUAUUGUUUUUGGUGCUUGAUGGUUCAUUCUUGUUCUGUAACUUCAGUUUAAUGAACUUCGAUCUGCAUUUAGUUAUUUGGUUCCAAAUUGUGGUGAAAUUAUAUAUAGGCUAACCUUAUGUUGUUUGCUGAUAAAGAUUAGUUUCUGUACAAGGGAAAUCAUCAGAUGAACACUAUAGUAUAAGGAACUCCCAAAUCCUCUAGGAGUCAGUCGUUAUUUUACCAAGAUUUGGCAACACCUCUCUCUGCUCGUAAAGGGAAAUUCUCAAGUUUAGGCCAGGCAUACAGAAUUUUGGUGGUUCAGACAGUCACAAAUCCGGGAUUUCAACUUAGGAGGCAAAAGUAUAUACAAUUAGAUGUGAAACUAAGAUUCUGAAAAAAUAUCAUAAAAAAAGAAUAUAUGCUUUAAGAUUUCCUUAAUGAAUCAUUUACAAUUGUUUUAUGAAGAACACAACUCCAAUAAAUUUUUACAAAUUGGACUUUAUUAUAGUCAAAGGUCAAAUCAUUGAAUUAAAUGAGAUUUUUAAUUUGGUCUUAAAUUCUAAAUAUUACUGAUGAGUAAUCAAAAGUUCGAUCAAUUGUAUGAUUAGUCCAAACAAGAAUAACAAAAUUAAGAAAUUUAAAAAGAUGAGUGAGAGGAAAUUCUCUGAUGGGGAUAACCCUAACGAGGAAAGAACUAAUCAGGAUCCUAUAACGAAGAAGGUUAAACAUCGUGAUAAGGACGAUGGAAACAACAAGGAUGAGGGGUUUGACUCCUCACCCAAUUCUUUCCUGCAGACAUUUCGAGAUAAGAUUGUUCAGAGUAUGAAGGUAGAUAAUGAUGAUGAUCCGCUUGGGGACCUGAAUUAUAUCUUUUACUCAAAGGAUGUCCAAAUUGAUCGACGGGAACGGUGCCAGAGGUUUGAAUUUCUAAGACACUUCAAAAGAAUCUUGCUCUGAAAUGGUCAAGAGCUGUUGUUGUGCACUUAUGGGGAAGGAGAAUAAGUCACAAGUCCCUUUGCUCUAAACUAGAGAUUUUAUGGAGACCUAAAGGACAUCAAGUUUUAGACUUGGGGAAUGACUAUUUUCCGGUUAAAUUUGAGCUGGAAGAAGACUUUCAUAAAGCAGUGUUAGAUGUCCCUGGAGAAUGGCAAAUAGCUACCUUGUGGUGCAGCCAUGGAGUUCUUCUUUUAAUAUUCACAAUUUCUCGUUAAAGAAGGCUGUGGUUUGGAUUCAUUUACUUGGCCUUCCAUUUCACCUCUAUCAUAAGAAAGUUUUACAUACAAUAGGGGAUGUGGUGUGAAGCGUUUACCGUGGAUCCAACCCACAGCCUAGAAGUCAGAUCAAGCGUGAUAUUAAUUCCUUAGUUGAUGUACUUCACAUACCUAGUACGCCCACAUUUCUCCAAACUAAGCUGUCAGCCAGCGCAUUCGUUGCUCUUUUUCCCAAAAAGAAUCAACAAUCUUUAUUGGCAUGCUCAAUGGGACCACUUUUGUACAUUCCAUCUUUCACUUGAGUUUUGAGAGAACACCAUGACUCGAAAAACUCGUUCAGUUGUUGAAAAAGAAACUAUUGCCGCGUCUCUGGAUUCGGAUGGAGGACCUACGAGAGUGAAACAUUCCGUAAUUUUAUUAUCAAAACUUUCGAAUUUCAAUUAAAUUAAAAAUCUGGAUUUUUGACUGUAUGGGCUGCAAAUACCUUAUAAUUUUAAUUUGGAUUUUCAGAGUUGAGCUCAAGCCCAACACAUAUUAUCGAAAUUUCCGAGUCGAGAACCUUCAAAAUUUUUCAAAAGUAAAUAUGGAGCUCUAAAUAUUAAUCUAUUAUAAAUAUAUAUAUGUGUGUGUUACUAUUUAAAUUAAUUAUUCUAAAAUCAAAUAUUAUUAUUAUUAUUAUUAUUAUUAUUAUUAUUAUUAUUAUUAUUAUUAUUAUUAUUAUUAUUAUUAUUAUUAUUAUUAUUAUUAUUAUUAUUAUUAUUAUUAUUAUUAUUAUUAUUAUUAUUAUUAUUAUUAUUAUUAUUAUUAUUAUUAUUAUUAUUAUUAUUAUUAUUAUUAUUAUUAUUAUUAUUAUUAUUUAGUAAAUUGAGGAAAUAUUCUAGAACCUAAUUAAACCAAUUGAAAAAAAUAAUAAAUCAAAUAAUAAAUCAAACCAGUACAUCUUGAAGCUUCUAAUAAUUGAACCAAACCUUUGGAAAUGAACCAAAUCAGAUAAAGCAAAUCAAGGAGAUAGAAAGCAAACAAAAAAAAUAUUUUCGACAGCCCCGUACCCCCUUUCUCUCACCGUCUUUCGGCCAACGGCCAUGGAUUUCAGCAACCAAAUAAUCUAAAAUAUUCUACUCAUCGCAAAGAAUUUGAUCAAACCUUGGUUUAUGCAAUUUGGGCUUAGAGCGAGAGGAAAUGACGUUGAAACACUCGACAUCGUGCGAUUCUAUUCUCCAGUGAGUUCUCGCCAUUUCUAGCCACCAUACACCCUGAGAAUGGGUCCAAUCAAUUCCUCAUUGCCUCGCAAGUAUUUUCCCUCUAUCAAUUGAGGUUUCCUGUGGAGAAUGAUGAAGCUACCAUGAUCGGUGGCUCCUUUAGUAGCUGUUGAGGCUUGUUCCGGCCAAAUGGACCACUGAGUCAACCAACAGACAUUAGAUUUGAGUUCCUCAUGGAAUUUCAAUAUGAAGAGCUAUUGAAAGAAGAAUCACAGAGAAAGAGAAGCUCAACAGGAACUUAUUAUCAUGAGCAUCAUCAGGAAACAGUUGUGACUUGAAUUGGUGAACUCAGGUUCCUGUGUGUGUCCGAACUUAGGAGCCCCAGUAAAGACAACAUCUCAGAAGAAGAACUCUGAUUAGGAGACUCAAUUUACCUUUGAUGCGUCUAAGAUUUAGGAGAUCUUCGAUUUCUUACUAAAGGAAAAGUUUGCGUCUCUCCCACCUGGUCAUAAGAUGCCGACGAAAGGAAAGCAAUACUAUAAGUACCAUGAUUUCUAGAACCACAAUACUAGUAACUGCUGGAGUUUCAGGAAUGCUUUACAGGAUCGAAUUAACAGAGGAGUCUUAGGGUUCCCUGAUAAAGAACAGAUGCUAAUCGAUAAGGAUCCUUUUCCACCUAUGGCAUCCAUCAAUGCUGUGGAAGUGGAUUUGAGGAAUAUCAUUGACUAGUUGAAGAAGCUGCAGGUUCAUUAGAAGAUCUCAAGUACACAUAAGAAGCUACAACAACAUUGGCAGUAAAAUUUUCCAAGGGAAGCGGGUCUAUCUGUUAACCGCUUUCCUACAAAGACAAAAGUGAUUAGAUCUGAACCAAAGUUCCAAAGGAACCAAUCAAGAUUUGUUGUUCCUCCAUCUGUUGAACCAACCAAGAAGUGGAUGGUGGUGCGACAUUCAAAGUUCCCUCAACCUCUGACUCGAACUCAGAAGAGCAGGUUGCAGAGGAAAAGAGUCUUAGAGAAGUGACAGAAGACAGCUUUAGCUAGUUCCAACUGUGAAAAUGAGAAAAAUAAGUUCAGGUGUAAAAUUUUUAAAAUGGGCUAACGUAUUAAGCAUGGCCUAUCAGGCAAUUAUUGAACCCAUUUUGUGAUUUUUUGGAAUUGGGUUUAGUAUUUUGGAUUGGGCUUGAAUUUUAUUUAAUUGGGGCCCAAUUAAUAUUGUUUUGGGUAAUUAAUUGAUUAAUUAAUUUUUAUUAAUUAGUCAAUUAAUUAUUUAAAAGAAAGAGAUAAUAGAAACGUGGGUUACAGUUGAACAAAAAGAGCACUCCUUAAGUGCACUCCUCAAGCAAUUGCUCACGUAUGGGAAAAUGGGAGACCAAAGGAGCUAAUGAGAACACGUGUCAGUGGCUUCUUUUGAUAACUGUCUGUAAAACCUAUAAAAGCAGCAAGAGAGACAAACAAAAAGAGAACCAAAAUUCUCCGACGAAUUCAAAUUAAACUGUCCAAUGAGCCAAGCAAUUUAAUUUCAAAGCAUUGUCUUUAUUUUUCCUAAGCAUUGUCUAUUUUACAUUUCCUGUAAUUACAAGCUCUUUUCAAUACAAGUAAGCAAUUUACAUUUCAAGCAAUUAAAUAUCCCUUACAUUUCAAGCAAUCAAGCUCUCUUUACAAUUUUCUCUGUUCAAAUUUAUUUUAAAUUGCACAAUCGGUGAAGCGUUUACCGUGGAUCCAACCCACAGCCUAGAAGUCAGAUUAAGCGUGAUAUUAAAUCCUCAGUUGGUGUACUUCACACACUUGGCACGCCUCCAUUUUCACCAAAUCAAGCUAUUAGUCAGUGGAUUCGUUGCUUUUUUUCCAGAAAAGAACCAACACGACCUUUCUUAACUAGAUUUCAAACUCAAAUCAAAAAGAGGAAUGGCAUGGAUUUUUUUUAUUAUUAUUGUGAUCGAGUGGUCAUAUCAUACGUUCUUGUACUUAUAAAUUAGAGGAUGAGAAGAAAGGACAAGUCAUGUGGUCUAAGCUUUUUAAUCAUCUUAUAUCCAAACUAUUUGAGAAACUCAAACCAAGAUAACAUUAUUUGAACUAAAGAGAAAACAUCUGGAACGAUUGGCUAGACAAUGCAAUCAAUUGGGAAUUACCAAUAUGGGGGGACCUGAAUAUGGAAAAAUAUUAAUUGGAUUGCCUCAUUUUAUUGAAUUGGAAAGUGGAAAGAAGCGACUGCUAAAUGAGGAGGUAGAAAAUUUGCAAUAAAAAGAUUUUGUUUUGGCUAUAUGAAUCUCAUCCUAAAAUGGGGGAGAGAACCAGUAGAAAUGUGUCUCUAGGGGAAAAAUAAAGCUUUUGGCUUGAAACUACCAAGGUUUUUAUGGAACCCUUGAAAGUUCAUCAUCUCAAAGGAAUGUCUUUUUCCCAUUCUCCAAAUAUAUUAUUUUUAGUAGAAACAAAAAAUAAGAGCUCUUUUAUAUAUAAGAAAAUUCAAAAAUAUAGUUGGUCUCAAUUUUACUUUGUUGAACCUAGAUAUAUGGCUAGUGGGUUAUCUUUGGCAUCGCAGGAUCAUGUUAGAAUAGGCUUAAUUUCACUUGUCGUACAUCAGAUAUAUAUGCUAUCACAUUACCAUACCUUUGAAUCAAUUUGUCACAUAAAUAUGUAUCAAGUUCAAUUUAGUGAACAUUAAGUAAAAAAAAAUACCUUUUAAGCUGCUACAAGGGGUCUCUUAAAAUAUUUUAUACUUUAUUGCCUGACACAGUAGGCCACAUCAGCCAUUCCUAGUUUUCUUUCUCUUUUUUUUAAUUGCCCUUUUUUUUUUUUAUUACUGCGUGACAGUCGAUAACUACCUUCACUUCCAGGCAUGACAUAUCUAAAUUUAUUUUUUAGAAAAACUAGGCAAUUUUCCGCACAUCGAGCGACUGUAUAACAAUAUUUUUUAUUUGAAUUGUAAGAUAUAUGUUUUAAGUAAAAUUUUGAAAAUUCAAAAUGUGGAGAUUGAUAUUAUACCUUUUAAGAAAUGUGUAAGUUUUAAAAAAGAAAAAGUUAAGAAGAUAAUUCUAACAUUAGUUUAUUGUAUAGUUCAGAACACAUAUUUGAGUUUUUUUUUUUUAGCUAAGAUUUGCCUAUGAUCAUGUGUAGCUUAGGUUUCCUUAAAAUAUAAGCAGACACUGAAAUUUUCUAUAAAAAAUAGAAUAAAGUGUAUAAUUUUAUAUAUAGAAAUAUGAAAUGUUAUAUUUCAAAAUCAUAGCCAUCAAAAUAUAAACAUGUACUAAUUUAAUUGCAAGAGUUUCUCUACCUAAGUUGAUAGUAAAUUCACAGUCAUCUCUGGAAUCAAUUUUCAUUUUUUUUUAUUGAAAGCAGCCGAUAAAAUCAUAUUUCUUAGCAAUGUCGGUUGUCUUUCGAACCUAAAACACACAAAAUGAUUUAAAAUUGGAAUUAUGAUAGAUCCAUAAAUUAAAAUGAAUCCAAAAAGAGAGGUUAAAUGGUAUUAUUUACCCCAAUUUCUAACUUCAAAUACAUAACGAAAUGGCUAAGGUUCUUUCUAAUUUAUUGAUGAUUAAUUUGAAUCACUUUGUUAUGUUAAUUAAGCUACAACUCUACAUAUUUAGUUUUUUUUUUUUCAGAAAACAGUAGCAUUUAACAAUAGAUUAUUUUGUUUUUUUAAUAAAUGUAUGUUUAAUUAAUAAUUUGUUGUUUUAUUUUUUAGAAUUUUAUUAUGGUAAAUGAAGAGUUUAAACAUUGUCACGGUAAAUGAAAAGUUUUGAAAAAGUUCAAAUAAAUUUUUUUAAUGAGUUCUUUAAUAAUUAGUCAUUAUUUGUUUUUGUUACUUAUGUCGUUAGAAGAUGAGCGAUAUAAUAUUUUUUUUUUUAUUAUUAUCAUGUAACAAAUAAAUUUUAGACAAAAUUUUACGAUAAUAAAUUAGCUAAUAAUUUGUGUCAUCAUUUGUGGUUUUAAUUUUAGGCUUAAAUUUUUGGGUCCCUUUUUUGAUAUUCAUUUAGCUAAUUUUUCGUUCUUCAGUUUUUUAAUAGUAAAUGCCAAAUUUUUUUCUUUUUUAUUUUUGUUUAAAAAGUUUCCUUUUUUUUAAUUUACCUUUUAUGAAACUAAUUUACUUUUAAUGCAGUAUAAAACUCAGUUACUACCAAAUAAUUGUACUUCUUAAUAUUCAAUGCAAUAAAAGCCACACAUUGGAGAGAGAAAAUGACUUGUUAGAAGUCUAAAUGGAGUGCUCCUCCAAAGUUAUUCAUAGCAUAGCAAAUAAUCUUUCACAUUGGAAAAAGCUUUCGAUUUUAUUUUGUCCCGAAAUUCAUUACCUUCUUAAUAUGGUCUCUUUUUGAUAUUCUGAAUCUUUCACUUGACCCAUUUCUCUCUUGUUUCCUCCGUCGCCUCCGUAGUCCUCUUCGCCACCGCCACCACCAAUUAAAGCCAAAAUCGCCCAAAUGAAAGGGAAAAGAGGGUUUACUCUUCAAAUCAAGAAAAAAGACAAAUCUUUGGUUCUUGAUUACAUUAUGGAAUAAGGAAAUGAUAUUAGAAGAGGAAAUCAAGAUCUGUUAUUAUAUACAAAGUCAGGAGGUAGGUAUUUGGAUUCAAAAGGACAUCCAUGGAAUCUGUUCCUUUUCAGCAUCCAAUUACUUUCGCUGCAAACCACAUGAAUAAACACAUAACCGACACCGAGAAUCGCGAGAUCAAACUAACGAUGGAAACACAGAGGGCGACGACACUCCACUUUUUGAUCUCGAAUCGUUUAGUCUUCUUGGAAGAGGAAGAGGAAGCAGUGCUGCUUGAUGCCUCGCCAACUAAAACCAUAGGCAUAUCUGAGUCUAAAGUCACCAUUUUUGCUCUAUAGUCACUUAACAAAGACGAGAGAGAAAGCAAACGGUAUAUGAUUUUGUUGGCGAAGCAAAGAAUGGAAAGGAAAUUUGAUGGGCUUUGGCAAGGCAGUCAGCGUACGAGUAUAAAGCAAAUACUCGUUUAAAUCCUUACUGAAUAUUAUUGAAAAAUUACAAUUUCCAUUCUAAAUCAUGAGCCUAAAACAUUACUUGGGCACCUUGAUGACUAAGGCUCAUACCAUAGACCAUUAUUUUUGGAUCUUCAAUCUAAAUCAUGAGCCUAAAACCAUGGUCAUGGUAGUUUGGUGGAUUACUUGGGAUUACCUUAUAUUAUCAAUAUAUCCAAAGGUGGUAGUCUUUCCAGAAAUUACAGGCAUGAUUCAAUAUAAAUUGAAGGGAUGGAAAGAGAAGUUAUUAUCUCUAGUGAGGAAGGAUAUUUAAUUAAGGUAGUAGCUAUGGUUAUUCCUAUUUAUGUUCUCUCUUGUUUUAAAAUUCCAGCCAACUUAUGUCGUGGUAUUAAUAUAAUUAUCUCAAAUUUAUGGUGGGGACAACAACAAGAAGAAAAGAAGAUACAUUGGAUUUCUUGGAAGAGUCUUAGUAUAACUAAAACGGAAGGAGGUUUAGGCUUUCGUAACUUGAAAAGCUUCAAUCUAGCCUUACUUGCUAAAUAAGGCUAGGACUUUUAACUUCUCCUACUUCAUUAUUGGCAAAGAUUCUUAAAGGGAAAUAUUUUCCAUUUUUAAACUUUCUUGGCAAGUAGUAAUUUUUCAUGGGGUUGAAGAUGAGAGUGAAAUUCUUAAACAAGGGGUGAGAUGGGAUGCAAUGGAGAAUCAAUCUCUUGUCAAUAUGAUGCUUGGCUUCCUACUCAAUAUCCUUUCAAGUUGCAUCUUAGGGAUAAUGGAGAUCAAUAUAAAUUAAUUAAUAAUUUUGUUGGUACUUGAAAUGUGCAAUUAAUAAAAAGACUCAUUAUUAAACAAGUUAUUGAAGUUAUACUCAUUGUCCCUCUUAGUUUGACCAAAUUGGAGGACAAGUUAGUCGCAAAUAAUGGUCGUUACUCUAUGAGGUUUGAUUGUAGAAAUGCUUGUGUCAUGCAUUCUUCACAUCAAAAUAUAAAGUGGCAAAUGCAUAAGUUUAUCCCCGUAAUUUACCCAAAAAUCUUGUGGCACUCUAAAUUUUAUGAGGAACAUAUUCUGUCCCCAAAGUUAAAAAUUUUGGUAAUAUUGUAUCCUUCUCCGACUAAUUUUUUGAUGGUUUUAGCAUUUAUAUGCAAAAUAUUCACUUUGCGGUAUGAUUAGUAUAAUCUUUAAAAUAAUAAUUUUCAUAUUUUGAUAGGAGUAGGAUCAGUAAAUCCUUGUAUUAAAAGCCAAUUGGCAAAUCCUUAAGUUGAUAGGAGUAGUAUUAAAUUGGCCGGUACUUGGCUGGUCUUGCCGACAAAAAAAAAAAAAAAAGAAAUGGAAAGCACGGGCUGUGACGAUUGGGAAGCAUAGGCCGCACUCUUCCUCUUUACUGCGCUAAACCCAGAACAGAAAGAAAGAGAGACCGGAGAGAGAGGUGGAGCUGACGUUUAUGGUGGUGGAGUCGCCGGCAAAAUGAAACGAAGGGGAGGGGCUGUCUCGUUUGGAAACAAACGCAGCUCACUCUCGUUGCUGCACUAUCGGUAGACGGAAGAGAGAGAGAGAGAGAGAGAGAGAGAGAGAGAGAGAGAGGCGAGGGAGCAGCGGCGGCGGUGACGUUGGCUGGUGAACGGAAUAGAAAGGGGAGGGAAGAGCAGCUGGUGUCAGCGUUAACGGGAAGCGGAGAAGGGAAAGUUGGGACAAAAUGGGGAUUUUUGAAUUCUCUAGAAGUUUCUCAUUGGUUAAUGGGUGAUUUGGGUUGAUUUGAGUUCGUUCGGCCCAAUUCAUGGGUUUGUUAGAAUUUUCAAUUAAUUUUAUGGGGUUUUCAAAGGGUUUAGUUUAAAUCUAGGUUUGGUCUAACUAUAUACAAUUGUAUUUAUAUUAAAUUUUAUCAAAUAAAUUCACAAGGUAUUAAUUUUAUUAUUUUAAAA